UAGUGGUGCCUGGUGGGCUUUGAGAGACGAUGUGUAUGCCCAGUGAGUAGUGUUAGUAAACUCCUGUUCUAGGAUCUCUGUUGCGAUGAGAGCCUUUGUAGGCAGCAUCUGAAUUUCUUUCGACAGUUCUUUUGCACCUGAAAUAUGUGACCUGACUUUAAAAUGUUUGUUCGAAUUUUGUGAAACUUGAGACGAUGAUAACUGGAUUCCAUGGUUGACCGCUCAUAAUUUUAUGAAACUUGAUAUGAUGAAAAAUAUCGCUAGUUAUAGAAUUUUGUCGACAGAGUUCUUAUUUUAGUUGUUUACAGAGAUUAGCGAGAAAUUUGACAGCGUUGCUCAGCAUUAAUAUAUACAGAGAUUAACUGGAGUAGUUAGCAAGGCUGCAAACUACAGUGACAGCGUUGCUCAGAAACAAAAUUAGGAAACACAGAGAUUAUCGUGCUGACAAAUUCUCGCAAUUCUAACCAGUAACCAUUAUUCUUAUUUGAGGCCAUAAAAGUCACCAUUGAUAUAUAUUAUCAUCAUGAAACUCAGCACACGUACUGAAAAUUUUACAUGGCAACGAGACCAUAUAGAUUGGCAGGGCAAAAUUUCCAUACAAGCUUCAAGAAAAUUGUUUUCCUGUCUACCCAAGACAUUUCAUCAGCAUGCGCUGUUUGAACUACGCCAAUACAAAACUAACCUCGUUCACGCACGAGUAAAACAAAGAAAAAUUCCGAGCACAACGCCAAGUAUUAGGGAGAACUGGAAGAGAGCUCUGUGUCUUCGUCUUCACCAGGGAUCAUGGUGUUAGGGUGCUAUCGGAACCGUUGGAGCAGCAUGCUAAUAAAUUCAUACGGCGGAACUUUAUUGACUGCGGAAGAAGCAAGGCAAAGGAAUUCACAUUAAUUCAUAAGCUGUGUACAAAUUUUAAAUAAUCAGCUGCAUUUGAAACCUAGGGGGAAAUCAAGGAGCAUACCAUCUCCAUAGCUAGCCAUUGUAGGUUGGGAAGAUAACAUCAUCUUAGCAAACGCUGUAACGUCAUCUAGGGUCAGUUCCUCCAUGCACUGAAGAAAAUGAUCAAUGGGUUUCCUGUUGUGAUGCAAACAAACAGAAAAAAAACAGGAUCGAUGAGUUUCUUCUAUGAGACAGGCUUGUGAAAUAUGGUUCGAACCGAUGAAGAUAUGGACUUACCUGCUACCAUAAGUCAAAAGCUGCCUCCCUAUAUCUUCUGCAACAAUUACCUGCAGUGCAAAGUUAACAGAUGGAUAUCAAAUCCUUUUAAAUAUACGUGAUAACUGACAAGAAAUAAAGAAUGGUGUGUGGCUCCAAACAUACCCUCGAUUCAAGAUUCAUUAGCACGGAUGAAAUCGUCGAGUUUUUCGCACGUGUCAGCUCAACCUCCGUCACUAAAUGCAUGCAAAACCAAAUCAUAUUUUUUUAGAACAUGCAGCUUCAGUGAAACCUCAGACAGAUUUACCGAAUAGGGAAUGACUCAUACCUUGUCCAGGCGUUGCAAUAGCGAUCAAUUCCUGCACCGCGAUAACAACAGCCUUUGAAACAAAAUCUGGUGGCUGUAGUGUUAAAAAUGGACAAGAAAUCAUAUUAAAUUUAAUAGAAAACGAAAAUCCAAGGCCGGUGCCAUUACAAUAUUAUAAAAUUCAAAUAACUAUGUUUCAUGCUAGAGUUAACUGUUAUAAAAUGACACACAUAUUGGUAGCAUAGUUUUGCUAUGAGAAAUCAAAAACAAGUAGACUUUGUAACAGUUAACUCUAGCAUAUAUAUAUUCACAUUUGAGUUUUUUCUUAAUUCUAUUGCUUGUUUUGCCAUCAUCACCAGCAGAAAGUCAGUAUUUGUAGUAAAGGUCCUGAUGCACAACAUGCAAAAGCAAUAAUUAAGCCCACAAAAUGACGUUGAAGGAUAAACUCACCGUUGUCAAAUAGAUGCCAAACAGGCCAGUGUUAUCAUAUACAUUACUGAAUGCUGAAAAUGAUUGGACGCCGUGAUAUUUAGUUAGAACUCUCAGGUCUGCAAAGAAACAACAGUGAACUUAGCCUUUUCCUCAAAGCAUUCACCCCCUUUGAAACAAGAAAUAAUUAGACAGCCAGCAGAACUAUUCUGAAAUGUAAAAAACAGUAACUGAAACAACCACAUAGAGUUAGUUUACACCAUGGCAACCAUACUAGAGAUGAACAAUUGCAGUGUGUUCGUGACUUACAAAGCCGUGAAUGCAUCCCUUUUCCAGGACCACCAGAGGAGAAUGAGCCGCCACCACCCAUUAAGGUCUUCAAAAUAUUAUUGUUGUUGCGCAUGAACAUUCAGGAAUUAACAAUUAGAAUGUGAAGAUGCGGAUGUCAAACUAGACUAGAUCAUUACUAUCAAAUACCAACCCUUUGCUAUACCUGUAUGACGGUCAUAAUUGUAGCCUCUCUCUCUUUAAGCCAGCCGCCUGGCACUUCAAAAGCCAACGCGACAUGUGUCAUCUGCAGGCAAAGAGAUGAGUAAAAUUUCAAGGUAGAACAUAAGGAAGUCUCAAAACUCAAAAUGGAAUACUCGAUUAGAAAGAAUAUUACAUCUGAUUCUGCUUUGUAUCUGAAAUCACCACCUGUGUACGUAGACUUUGGUGUUUCCAUAGGGGACCCCUUGUGCCAAUCAGACAACAAAGGUUCUGCGACAUCUAACAACUGUUGAUGAUCAACACCUGACGCUGCUAGAACCACACGAUCAGCAGUGAAGUUUUCCUGUUAUAGAAAUAGCAAUGCUUCAUGUUUUUUGAAUAAAACAUAUUCAUUGCAUUGUAGAGAAUAUCAAAACAACCAUACGGUGAGAACAGCAUAGCCGAAACUGUUGCUCCUACAAACAAUCAUGAUCCAUGGAUUGAAAAUAAAGUUGUAAGACUAGAACAACCCUGAUAACAAAAUCUCUCAUAGUUGCUGGCACUGGAUCAGCCGCAUACAAAUCAAUUCUAGUAUAUUAAUUAUGCGGUUAAAUAGAACUACUUCUAUAUUUGGGCGCUGCCAACAGAAUAAAUUGUUAAUAUCUAGAAUUUGCCGCAACUACAUCCACAGAAAACUGAAAGUAUAGGGAGCAAAACGACCAAAGUGUGCAAGGAUGUUCCACAGUGACCAGCGUGCUAAUAUCAUGUAAUGCUUUUGAGAAAAUGGCCAUCCUACCAAAAGUAAGUAAAUACGAGCCGCCAAGCAGCAAGCCAUGUUCAGGAGGAAUGCAGAACUCAAAUGUCAGAAGCAGUACAUGAUAGAACUUCCGAAUAAUAUCGGCAUUGAUGAUCUCAAGAGCCUCCUCGGGAGCUAUCAGCGGGUUCGCGAGCGCCCCCUCGUAUCCAGCAAGGUUAAGUACUUCCUGAAGGAACUUCUCCGGGUUCUUCUGCACCCCGUGGACCUCUUCUCGGGUAAGGGCCAGCUGACAAGAAACACAGCAAUCACCAUAAUCAGCGCACAACAAGCAAGAUAUACCCAACCAUAAGCUGCUUGAUGCAUCAUCCAUGAUGUUCCGCACCUGCCUGUCGACUUCGUCCUGGACGAAGAGCGGGUUGCGGACGGAGUCGAGGAGCACCUCGACGGCCUGCGGAAUGUAGGCCUUGAGCGUGUCGUAGCUGUAGACCAUCUGCUCCCUGGAGGCGGAGGCGCCGAUGUUGCCCCCCGUGGCCUCCACCUCCUGCACGAUCUGCCGGUGGCUCCGGUGCGCCGUGUCCUUGAACGCCAGCUUCUCCAGCAGGUGCGUGACGCCGGCGGACUCGGGCGACUCGUGGAUCGAGCCCGACGCCACGAACACCCCCACGCACGCCGUGGGACCCUGACAAACCACCCCCCACGGAGGCGUCAGCGGAGAGCGACGACGCAGCAGCAGCAGCAGAGGACGCUAUGAACUCAUCAGAAGGAGGGAAGGGGGCUGGUACCGGGACGUCCUCGGAGGCGACGCGGACGCCGUUGGGGAGCGUGGUGACGCGGGUGGGGAGGCGGGGGAGCUGGUCGGGGAGGCAGGGCGGGAGGUCGAGCCCCGGCAGCGGGUGCAGGAGCGAGGUCGAGCGCGCGGCGGAGGCUGCGCCGGAGAGCCGCCGCGUCAUCGUCGGCAGCGGCGGCACUCUUGGGACCUCGCCGCGCCCCAGCGGCCGGGACGCCUCGCACAGCUGCAAUUAACGCAAUCCAUCCCGGCGACCGUGAGGCAGGCAGCAGGGCGACUAAAUACAAGCAGGCGAGAGAGGCGGGCGAGUGGCGGGCUCACCUUGCGGAGCAGGCGGGCGGAGGAGCGGAGCCGGAGCAUCGCGGCGGCGGGGCCGGUGGUGCUGGUGGAGGGAGCCGCCGGCGAGGAGGAGGGGGGAGAAGCUGCCGUGGAGGAGGGGAAGGGGAAGGGGAAAGGAAUAGUUCGGCUCGGUCUGCUGGGCCGCAGGUAGGGUUUUUUUGGUGCCCGAACCGGGCCGUCGUCCACUGGAGGCCCGGCAGAAUGAGCCCAAGAGGAGUUCUCGGCCCUUCCUCUUCGUCUAGUUUUUUCCUUUUUUUUUUCUGCCUUAUCCUCGGAGAGCAGGAAAAGGCCACGGCCACGAGCCGCUGCUGCUGCUUCCCUCUCUCCUCUGUUUUUCUCUCUGGCUCUCAUGGAGGCCUCCGUGCUCAAGCCGUCGGUGCUGCUCCCUCCGGCGAGGGGAGCGCCCUCCACGGCGCGGGGGCGGGAGCGGGGCUGCGUCGUCGCCGGCGCCGGCAGCAAGGUCGGACGGUUGGUUCUUGGUUGCUUACUGUCCAUGGAGAACGAGCGCCAUCCAUCUCUCUCUCACGCUGCUUCUUUUUCAUUUCAUGUCCAAUCGAGCAGAGACUCGAGACACGGCGGCCGGAAGGGAGCAGCAGCGACGGCGCGCCCAGGAGCGAGCCGGCCAGAGGAUUCCACGGGCACGUCCUAUCCCUGACGGCAACGGCAGCGGCGGCCAUGAGCAGCAGCGCCGCCGCCAUGCCGUGCCACGCCGCGACCGCCCCGGCGGCGCACGGGCCACCGCUCUCCUACUACUACAGGGCGGCGAUGGUGGUGGGGGAACUGGACCCGGCGACGGCGAAGGUGGUGAUCGGGGUGGCGGGGCCGGCGCUGUCGGCGGUGGGGUUCCUGUUCGUGGCGCGGAUCGUCAUGUCGUGGUACCCGAGGCUGCCGGUCACCAAGUUCCCCUACGUGGUGGCGUACGCGCCCACGGAGCCCAUCCUGGCCGCCACCCGCCGGGUGAUCCCGCCGCUGGGCGGCGUCGACGUGACGCCGGUGGUCUGGUUCGGCCUCGUCAGCUUCCUCAGCGAGAUCCUCGUCGGGCCCCAGGGCCUCCUCGUCCUCCUCUCCCAGCAGCAAGUCUCCCCCUCCCCAUAGUAGCCUCCUCUUCAGCUUACCCCAAAAUACCUUCUUCUUUCUUUCCUCCAUCUAAUAUAUGAGCGAGCUUAUAAUCAUGGGCGCGGAUGAGUUUUCGACAUUCGAAAUUUUGCCAAAAUUUGUCAAAAACAGUUCAGUUCCCGACCCCGAAAACAUACAAGUCCGAGUCUAGGACAAAACUUGCAUAUUCAUACUCAACUGUAAUGAACUCGGUACAAAAUCGACGCAGCAAGUGCCCCCAAACAGAAGAGAGAUCCGGAACCAGCAGGCGACUCGGUCGACGCAGAACUAAAUGCAAGACAAAGGGCAGCAUCAGGGAGAUGAAUUUUGAACUAGUUGAUAUUUACAAAGGGCACGCUUCGCGCCACCCAGUGUUUAUACAAAUAAUUUGCUACAUGUCGCCGCCGGUCGAUUCCGGCGGCAAAUCUGAUCUCUGUGUAUUCUGUAUGAGAACAUGAUUAUAUAUAUAUAUAUACCAUGUUAUCCUGUUUGGAAAGAAUAGGAAUUUCCCUUCUACAACCCCUGUAUAUUGUUCUGCUCUAUCUCCAAUAAUAGGCUGCUGCUUCUAUUUCAGGCAGCAAGGUGACUAUUUGUACUGUAUGUAAGUCAGUAUACAGCUGAGAGUAACUAAAGCCCAUCAAAAAUUAAGGCGACGGCAACGGCUAGUGGUUGAUUGCGCACAGCUCCCACUUCCCUUCGCCGUCGAUGAGCUUCAGUUCCAACGAAUGGAAGGGUAUCAGAGCUGGCCUCUGUAAAACAAAUAGGCGAGAGACGUCAGCAUCACAGAGUUUCACACUCGGAAAGACGCAACCACGAGGGGUUGCGUUAACUUCCAGAGGCUCGAGGGGAUAAAUUGAUGAAUAAAGUACUUACUUGGGAGGAAGUGACCACAGUUAUACCCAUGUCAGUUGCUAGCCUGUACAAAUGCUCCUCGACGUCGACACUUGUGGCACUGCGGUGAGUAUACAAAAUUUUUAAGUACAAUGACUGAUAAACGAAAGGGAAAUGGGAGUACAAAAUAUAUUGCCAUUCAACACGUACUUGGUGCACUCGUCGAGGAUACCAAACUUAGGAGAGUGAAAGAACAGACGGGCCUGGAAAGAAAGCAGUCAUUCUCAGUUACUACACAGUUUUGUUCGCAAAAAGGUAUAGAGAUAGAUUAAAACAAACUGCGAGUAUUAACCACUGACCAUGCCUAGCCUCUGCUGUUCUCCCAAGGACAAAAUGUCUUCCCAGUUGGGAGUAGCAUCCCAACCUUCUCUUUCGAGAAGAUAGACCAAGCGAACAUUCUCCAGAAUUGUCCUCAGGUGAUCGUCCAGCGACGUAGACCUGUCACCUACAUGGCCAAGGUUUAUGGUGUCAUGUCACUACAAAUUAAUAUGAACCUUGCUCAUGACAAUACAGGGGAAGUUCAACACAUAAUAAAAGUUUGUUACAAACACCAUUAACUAGCACAAGCCACUUCAGAUUUUAGUAGAGGAGAUUUUAUAAACGUGUGUUUCGCAGGUUAGAAUACAGAGGCUGAAUUCGACAGCUAGAUGCUUGCCUUUGCAGAGUUAGGUAGAACUUACCCGUUUUGGCCAUCUUCAACUCUGCCUCCUCACGUGAGAGAGGAUAUAUGAUCUGAUCCCUCAAGGUUCCAAGGCAAGUAUAUGGGCGCUGAGGAACGUGAAAUAUCCCUUCAGAUGGCACGGUGAGCCUUCCAGAAGCUACAGGCCACAAACUUUGGAGCACCCUAAAAAUGGAACUCUUGCCACUGCCGUUUGGACCUUCAGAAGACAUAAUCACAUGUAUUAGAGAAACAAUGUUGACAUGGUGCUAAAUAAAGCCAAGCAGAAGCGGUCAGAUGACAUACCAGUGACAAGAAGGCUUUUUCCUUGAGACACAUCACAAGACAAUUGGCUAGCCAAUAGCUUUUGCGAUGGGGUCACAAUAUCCACAUUACGGAAGGAAAUAGUUUCUUCAGAUGGCACACUGAUAACAUUUGAGGGCAUGACAGCAUCUAGAAAAACAAUGGCGUCAUAUUCAGGUACAAUUCAUAGCAUACAAGAUGCCAAAAGGCUAAAACCUUUUAACUUCGAUAACGUCAUCAACUGAGUAUGAACAUAACAAUUCAGCAGCUUAUAAGUUUGAUGAACUAAUUUCAGUUGUGGUCAAGGUGGUCAACAAUAUCAUAUGAUUACUACCAAGGUUUCUACAAUCAGUAAUGGUGGUACCUCUUAACCAGUUAUGGACAGUUAACUAUUUUACAGAACAGCAGAUGUUGCACUAAAGAAUAUUGAGUAGCCAAAUGCCCAGAUUUGCCAACUAAAGCUGACAGUUUUUCGCAGUGUCUAGAGAAAUUCCAGUACACACAGUGAUUUUCAAUUUUUCCUCCACUCAAGAAUUUGUUGUAUCAAAAAUUACAGUGAUGACAUUACAUAUUUGGACAAAGUUGCAAAAAUAAGAAGGUUGACUAUUAUGAUACUAGACUGAACAUGCUCACAUGAAAUUUUAUCAUAUGGGCGGUUAGUGUUCAUAAUUUCAGUUCAAGAGCUUGUAGCAGGUUGCACAAUGGUUGACAAAAAUAGGAGUUAUGCUGCUGAUAUGCAAUAUCAUCUUAUAUUCAAAUGACAUAGAUUUCUGACUCAAGCAUAUGAGGCACUCGAGUUUGCUGCGGACUCAAACUUACUGCUUUGAGAUGCCUUUAGAAGCUCCUCGAGUUCAAAUAUCCUAUUGACACCACCAGAAAGUUCAAGGAAUUUCUUAUGCAACUCGAGAAUGUCACCAAAAGCUAUGAAACUUUGUGACACUACAGAUGCCAGGAACCGCAGGGCAUGUGCUAACUCUCCUGAAAUUUCAAAAUGAGAACAUAUUGUAAAACUGUAUGCAAAAUAAUAUCGAUAAAAUGGGUCGGUUUCAAGAUUUACCAACCUUGCGUUGAAGUCAAAGCUCGGUCCCCCUUGUGUUCCAAAGCAUAUAACAGGCUUAAUCCCCAUGUCACAUUGUGAGGCAGCUGCUUUGUCACGAAAUCGUCGAAAAUACCAUAAAGCCAUCUUUUCCUCAAAAGAAUCUUCGAGUGGUUAAGCAAAGUUGCGAACUUAGCUUCAACCAUCUGAUUUAUAAGAAAAUAAUGACAAUGUAAGGCCAUAUAAUUUUACAAACAGAUCAUAUGCCAGAUGUGCAGAUGAAGCUACAUGACCUGUGUUUUCAUCUCUUUUUUUUCAAUUAUUUAGCAUUUCGAUUGAAAUUCAGAAUAAGGAUUACAGUGUAGCACAAUAAAUAGAAAAUUUAACAUGAUAUUCACAAGAAUCAGAAUACAUAAAAUGCAUCUUGAGGAGCCCCUUCAAGUGGUAGGAAUAACUCACAGCUCUUUCCCUUGAUCCACCACCAAAGAAAGCAAUUGACUCAGCAUGUGUCCGCAGUCUUGAGUGCAUGAACCUUGAACAACAAAUGUUAGAAGGUCAAUACUGGAAGUUCAUCAUGCUAUAAGAAAACCAAAUACACAAAUACCCAACAAACUAUAUCACUAACCUGAAAGAACUUUCAAGUUCUUGUUCUUGGUUUGAAAGAUCACCGAAAUCAGGGGAAACGGCUCUUAGAAAACCAAGCCCUAGCAACAUGUAUGCGUACAAAAUAGCAACUCCUCUUCUCCCAGAUAAAAGUUUCAUUCUCCAUGUAAACCUGGAGAAUAGCAGUAGCUUAUGAAAGCCUGAUUAACCAAAGAACACCUGAGCAACACAUGAGGCCACAAAAAACUCACCAAAGAAUGUCAACUGAUGGUUUCACCAUUCCAGUUACUAAGCCAGCAAGAUCAUUGGUCAACUUCUCCACAUCACGUGUUAUUCUUUGGUCUGCAUCAAUCUCCAUGCCUGUCAUGUUGAAUACCUGGAAAAGAAAGGUCAAACUGCUCAGCUUUUAUGCAAACAGAAAUAUUGUCAUGACAGAACAAUGCUAGCAACGGUUAAAAGGGGAAAAUACUGCUGCAAAAUGGAACCGAAUGACUUGCAAAUUACACAUCUGUUAAGGCAAUUUACCUUGUAAAAAGCAUUUCUUUUCAAAUAAUACGCAAGUAGAUGGUUGGUCAUGCGAAUUCGCCAUCCAAGAGCAAUCUUUGAAGUAAGGUGUCUGUAAAGAAAACACUUGAUCAGGUCAUGGAACCAAUUAUGAACAAUCAACUGCCACUCUGAAAAUAGUUAAAUGCACACAACCAUGAAAUAGUACUUUCAUUCUUGUGGCGAAGACCACAUGAGGUAACAUACAGUAAUGCUCAGAUAAAACAAUUGAAUAGAUAGUAAAUAUUUAUAAAAAAAUGUGUGGGUGCUUCGCUAAAUGAAAAUGCCGUGACAAGCAGCCAAGCACUGCAUCAAAUCUCCCUGAGAACCAACUUCAAAAUAGCAGAACCAAAAGUCCAAACCUACCUCAGUGAUGGUGCCACAAUUGAAUUUGCUGCACUUUGCAUUACACUGGUCCCGAUCAGUCGAAUGAAGGCAGCCUUGUCCUGCUCCAGGACAUACUUAACACUAGUCCCUGUCAAGACGUGCAACAUGUUACAAAAAUGGUACACCAGCCAGCUCCAGUUCUUGUUGUAAAGGAAAGCACACAAGGAGCCAACCAUUCAGUGAAGCUAUACGAUCAGAUAUCCAAGUCCGAGAAAGUACGAGUACUGCAACUGCAAGCAAUUGCGCUCCUUGCUUAUCAAUGAUUUUAGGAACCUGGCAAGCAUUCAAGAAUAUCAUUAGAAUUAACUAUCUAAUAAAAAACAUUAAUCGACUAGGAAAUUUAAAUGUGUACCAGUAUUUUAGACAUUGCAGCAACUCUAACAGGCAAAGGUCUCGGCGAGCACUGCAAUUGUGGGAUCAGAUGUGGCUGUUCUGUGGAUUCUAUUUCCAUAUUGGGUGAAGUAGCUAUGACCUGUGUUGAAUAAGAAUGUUCCUUGGGGCCCGAUAACGUAUUUUCCUGGUAAUGAAAUGUGUUAAAGAGUGACACAACGAAGACCAACAGUAGCAGAACAGACUAUGAAAUCAUAACUACCUUUGUAUUAGCACUAAAAGCUCUUUGAACAGCAAGUGCAUCAGAUUUACGGUCAGUUUCUGAUGACUUCAAUGCAUCAAACUCCGAUUCAGUAGGAAGGAAGGAACCAUUUCUACAAAAACAAGAGGUUCACACAAAGUUCAGCCUUCUAGAGACAACACGUCAAAACAAGAAAAGAAAAAGGGAAAAGAAUCAUGAAUGUAACCUGUUAUCUUGAACUUUCCACCCUCCUUCACCAUCCAAGGACAAAACGACAUCAUGAAAAGCAACUAAUGCUGGCCGGUGAGAUAUUGUUAUGCAUGACGUGCCCAUUGCUCGGACCCUAUUGCAGAAACGUUCUUCCAUAUCAGUCGUCACAGCACUAGUACACUCAUCCAGGAUGGCAAACUUGGGCUUAUGGUAGAACAAUCUGGCCAUUCCCAAUCUCUGUUGCUCACCAAGAGACAACUCAUCACCCCAGUUCACUUCCUUGUCGAGAGGGUAACGUUCUAGCAAGUAUUCUAAAUCAACCUGCAAAAGAAAAGGACAACACUAAGGAUCUCCAGAAAGGUUCAUUAAAUAAUUGUUAAGAAGAAAGAGGCACACAAACAAAAUGAAGGGGGUAUAGCUGAACAGGCCAGUGUAUUGGUCUGGGUAUAAUUACAUUCUUUAGAAGAUCCACCAUACCACCAUAGCUAAGUGGUUCGGUUUCCUGAUCUGCUGUAAGUGGAUAGAUUAACUGGUCGCGAAGUGUUCCGACAGCUGUAUAUGGUCGCUGGGGGACAUAAAAGAUUUCCUUGUUAAGAUUAGAACCAACACCAGGUUUGACAAUGUGGCCAGAUACAAGUGGCCACAGACCCCCAAGAACACGGAAAAGAGAGCUUUUUCCACUACCGUUAGGACCUGAAAUAACAGCAAAGACACAGAAAGAUUAAUUUCCCGUGCCUGGAAUUUUCAUGUAAAAGUGGCAGAAAAGACAGGGAAGACAUAAAUAUAGCAUCAGGCAUACACAUAAAUAUCAAGGGUCUCUAAUAGAGAGAUUGAGACAUCACCCUACCAAGUUCAAGCACACAAACUUUGAGGCAGUUAUCAAGAUAAGGCUGGUCAAUAAAUGAUGGCUAAGCCAACAAAACAGUUAAGAUGAUCUGUCUAAGGUUGACAACCAGACAAAUAACUGGACCACAAAGAAGAACAAUUUAAACUGUGAUCCCUACACAAAUCAAAAUCAAGCACCUACAGGUCAAAGCACUGGUUUUAAGAGUUCUUUUCAAGUGAAAGAGAGGUGAUUUUAGGCAAAGUUCUAUAAUCAGCUUCUAACUCACACCAACCUGUCUGAAGGGAAUAUGUUGACUAAUGGUAAUGAGGAAAUGUCAACAAAAGCAGACAAAUCCUACUUUAAACUCACAACUAUCAAAUGCACGAAAGAGGUUUAUGGAUACCGUGUAUGGAAGAAGGAACAAUCAAAUUACUAUAAUUUCUUCUAGUAUGAAGGUGUAAACAUUCAAUCCAUUCAAUUUCAUUGCAGCCAUGGCUCAGAACCAGAUCUAGGGGAGCAAAUAUAUAGAGAGGUUACAGCUUACCAGUGAUCAAAAGAUUAGAACCCGACUCCACCCUGAGAGUUAAAUCAUCAACCAAGACAUUCCCAGAGGGUGUCACCACCUGUAACGAACUUCUAUUUAUAUCUUGGUAUUGAACAGAUAAAAUAAUCAGCAUAGUACUCCCACCAUCAUAAUUACCUUAACACCUGAAAAUUCUAUAUAGUUUGCCUCACUAAUAUAAUUUUUGGCAGAAGAAUUUCGGUUCAUUGAUCUGUCGCGAACCCCAGACAGCUCACGUGAAACAUCCAGUAACUCAUGAAUACGGUCUGCGUAGCCACUGUCAAUCAGAGCCCACAGUUAUCAGCAUAAGAGACAAAAAAAAAUCAGAAGUUAUGUAUAAUAGAAAUGCAUGAAGUAAUAAAAUGGCUGGGUGGAACUUAAAUCUAACUCAACGGAACACAGAUCUUAAGUUACACAGUUUAAAAGUAAUAAAAUGUACCAGAGGUCCUAAAAGUAUUUCGGGCAUAAUAGUGUUGAGAAACAUAAACACAAUACCAAUGUACUCCCUCUGUAAACUAAUAUAAGAGCGUUUAGAUCACUACUUUAGUAUUCUAAACGCUCUUAUAUUAGUUUACGGAGGAAGUAAUUCUUAGAAGCCAGAAGUUAAUACGUUUAGAUUCAAUUCCGCAACCACUUAAAGGGGGCCUAAAGACCAACUCCGGAUAGCAGAGUACCAGAGAGAUUCGUACUUGAUGAAGCAUGGUGGAUGAAAUCUCUAGAUAUCUCCAUUAGAUAAACAAACAUGUGCUUAAGGGUAAAAAUAUCCAAGAAAUACGAGUCAAAUGAUGUCAGAAGGAUUAUAAAGUACUGUGACCAAAUCUUCAAUGGAAGCCAUGAACAGUAUGUACAUGCAAACAUUAUAUGUUUAGCAACUAUGGGACUACAGCAAUUUACAGCAAUAAACUUGAUAAAAAAGUUGAAUAUAUUCUAUCAAAUCUCUACUUGACAUAUAGGUACCUUCACAAGAGAUGUAAGGGAUGGUGCAUUUACCUGAGAAGAUUUAAACGUCUUGAACUGGUAGAAAGGGUGCCAAGGGACUGGAAUAAUGAUAUUAUCACACUUGUGUGAUAUCGAAGAUUGCUCAACAUCUCUGCCCGUCCUAAAGUAGAUGUAUCAGGCUUAAGAUCUCCCGCAAAGAAAGGUUCGACAAUCAAGAUAACUCCCACUGUGGCACCAAGAUACUUCAGAAGAAAAUCCUGAAUCAUGCCAAACCACCAGUUCUCAUGAAGAACAACAUUAACGUGCCGCACAAGAGCCUGGAACCGCUGCAUAAUGUGUGAUUCUUCUCUGUUCUCACCACCAUAAAAUGCCACGCUCUCAGCAUGAGUUCUCAGUCGUGAAUGAACCUGGCGAUAUUCCCCUUCUAGUUGUUGUUCCAUGGCUUUCAACUUCCCAAAAGAAGGAGAAAAUUUUCUAAUUGUGCCACCAGCACCAAGUACAUAUGCCUGAAAGCAAUUACCUAUUAGCAUUGUAUCUAAUUAAGCAGCAUCAGUUAUCAUAAUAUUAUUACAGUAUACACAAACAUUAAGGCAGCAUAGUGUCCUCCGAAUAGAGGAGCAUUUGUCUUUGACCAUAAGAAUUUCCACAUCAUGCUACAAAUCAAUAAGGGUAAACAGUCAUUUAUGUAGAAAUAUUUUUACCAGAAUCCAGAGAACAUAUUUCGGACUUGCAUAAGAGCAGAUGCGCCAGAUGUAUAUUAACCCAUCUGCAACUGCAAUCAGAUCAUCUUGUACAAGGUCACUUAGCCCUGCGCAGAACUUAGGAAUAUCACUAGCAAUCCUUUGCUCUGGGUUUGAAAUCCGAUGAUCUACAUGUGAGAUCUUGUAGUAAACCAUAUUCUGGACAAAAAUAGGAAAAAAUCAAUGAGGAGUUGCAGUGAAUAUGUGGUUCAAAGCAGGAAAAGUUCGGCAAUUGACCAAACUAUCAACUAAUUAAGUUAUCUGAAUUUCACAUGAUAAUCUCUAGGAUAAGAGGUAAUGAACAGCUGUGGUAAGUACACAGAACACUUAAUGUGCAUUGCAGCAAAAAGAACUGGCUUCACUUAAGUCUAUCUCUAUGGAUUAAGUGAGUUGAGAUGGAUAGCCUCAGAAUACUUCAACACUACAUUAUUUUUGCAUGACCAGGUAUCAUGGCCAUAAAAAUAUUUGUGUUCUUUCAGCUGUUGUGUGUAGCACAAGUUGUUGGAUGCAAUUCUUGGACCUAAUAAUAAUUCACAAAUAAUGCUCCACAAAGUCUACCAACUAUAUCGGUUCAUCUCAGAGGAUAACACAGACUUUCAGUGCAUAACUGGGAACUGAAGAAGUGAAAAAAAAUGUGAAGGUGUUAAAUAGAAAGGAUAUUUCAACUUCAUAACCCAAUAUACCUACCUCAAAGUAAUCAGCAUGGAUGAGAUCCGUCAAAAUUUUCUUGAAGCGCAAGCUUAAGGAUCCUGUCAAGUACUUUGAGGUCUGAUAUACCGUGGACUGGAGAAAGCAUAAUAGAAGAUUUUCAAUGAUUAGGCGUGUGAAGGUCGGAACACGCCGAAGAAACGCGGAUUUGAACAAAUACCCUUGAACUUUUGCUAAUCUGUGACCAAUGGCUGUACGUAACACCUGCAGAAAGUACAUUGGUUAAAAAGGUUCUACAUGACUGAACUCCGGUACAGCUUAUCAUAAAUAGCCAGCAACUAAGUCAGCAACCCAGUAAGAAUGUAAGAUACCACAAAAAAAUGGAACUAGCACUUAUGGACCAUACAAAUUCUGACAGUCAGAAAAGCACCAUCAGUAUGUCAAACAAAUGAAACAGGCAGAAUGGAGAGAUUUGUAGCACUUACUGCUGUUAACAUCAAGCCAAGAAGGUAAUUCGUUCCGCUUGGGCCAAUCUUCUUGAGCAAAAUAGCAGCCAGGAAAUGUAAGGAUUUCAAUAAAUUUUUCUUUUUCCUUGGUUUAACCACUUUACCGUCAACACCAUUUUGACUAAUGUUCUCUUUACUCCUGCUAUGUACAUUUCCAUCAUUAGAAUGAUUUUCUUCCCGAUGUUUCCGCCGUCGACCUGACUGCGCAUAUGCUAAAGUACCACCAGCAAGUAGUGCGCCAGAAACAACUGCAAGCGUCCUCCUGAAUGUAGUUUGAAAGAAGAAGCAUAAGAACAGAACUAACAAGAGAUUAACCAAAUUCUAUAUAAAAAAUGUGUUGUGAUCAGCACACCUUCUCGAAGAAAAAAGGUUCCGUCCAUGCUCCGUAAGUUGCAAUAACUGAAGAGAUGACAUUGUUGCUAGAUUGCCCUCUCCAAACAGAUAUAGACAGCUAGCAAAAACAGAGGGCUAAGUUGUAUGGAAAGCCUUUUGACGAUCAACAAAACACAAACGUCGCCAAGCAAGGGCACCGCCUGUCACAAUACAGCACCGUUGUGUCCAAGUUGAACCUGCGGACGUUCAACAGAUGACUAGUAUUAUUCAUUGCAAAUAUACUUGUUAGGAAAAUGCGAAGAGAACUUGACAACCAGGAAGAUCUAAAUAGCCCGUAAAGCUAGCUAACUGUUAGCAAUGCAUCAAGCACAAGACGCACACAAUCGAAUUUUGGGAGCGAAACAAGUGCGUUCUGCCUGCAUCAGCAAGCAACAGGGUAAUGUGAGCUGAGCUAUAUCUAUCCCCUGCCCUCGACCAUAAAGGUUUUUUUCUAAGGAGGCGCAUGGCUGCAUUCUGAUGACCAUCAGCCCAUGUCCACUGGCGAGAGGAUAAACUGAAUUCUAUAAACCCAGUACACGUACACAGCCCCAUUAUAGCAACUGAGCGCCCUGCAAAUUCCCCUGCUCCUCACUUGUUAGGAGAAGCCAAUACAAUGCCGCAGUUACCAUCACAAGCCCCACGAAUAAACCAACCGGUGGUCAACGGCAGUAGACAGGUCCACUCCACUUGCAGCUCGCCCAACCUCCAAAUCUGCCCUCUUCACAACAGUUGACAAAUCCGUAGCUGUCGGGGCAGAGGAAGCAGCGCGGCAGAGGAGCAAUGGCGCGGAGGCACCCUCCCUCCCACCUACCAUCUAUCUACCGUAUGUGUGUAUCCCACCAAACUGCCUUCAUACCACUACAACAGGACAUUGGACCACCACCGGGGUCAUGAAAUCCGCUGCCCCUUGGAUCUGAGCUGCAGGGUCGCCAUUAAGUGAACUCGGCCGCACUCGCAUAUCCCAGGCCCCAAGUGCAGUACAGUACGUAUUACUGGCGCGACCACGCGGUAAGCAGGUAAUUGAAGUGGUCAGUGGAGUGAGCAACUGACGAGAAUUCUCGAUGGGAAUUAGCAGUAGUACUAGAGUCCAUCCAUCGUGUGUGGCGGUUACUGGGAGCAGAGCAAUGGCGCCCGAACCCGCCCCGCCCCGCUGUUCGCAUCAGGGCGCGAGGCGCGCGCGGAGGAGAAGCAACCGAGGAAGCGGGCGAGCAAGCAAAGCGGCGCACGCAAGCGCGGGCGGGCGGGCGGGCGAGACCCCCCGAGACCACACGCGACCUUCCCGAGUAACCAGCCAAGUGAUCGAAACCGGCGCCGGCCCGGUGGCGGAGACGGGCGGGGUAGGGGAGAGGGCGACUGACCUGGGCGCCUGGACUGGCGUGAGCCGCCUCGCCCGAUCGCGGGAUCGGCGCGCGCGGAGACGGGGAGUCCGGGAGGGAUGGUGGGAGCGAGGCCGCGGCGGGCGGCGGGCGGCGACGAGGAGCGGCUAGUGGAGAUGGAAUCGAGCCGAGGGAUAGAUAAAUAAAAGGACGGCGACGGCGAGGGGAGGAGGAAUCGGGAGGGGGGAUGGUGUGCGGUGUGGACAACAAACCGGGCGGUCGCGGUCUCCGUCCGUCGCCUCUCCCCACCUCCCUUCCUCGGUCUGGUCUCUCCCCUGCCCUGCCCUCGUCACCAGCCAAGCAAGUUGCGUGAUGGAUUACACCUUUUUUUAAAAUUAAAAUAAGUUUUUUUUUGAGACAAUAAAAUUAAAAUAAGUGUUCCUGUUAAUCAGGGGGCGGGCGUGCGUGCGCCACGCGUGGUCAACGGCCGGGAUCCCGCGGCGGAGGGGGCGAUCGACGGCCCGCGUGGAGCCCCGGCGGCCUCGGGCGCGUCGGCAUCACGAUUUUUUUUCGGGGGAGAGACAAGCGAUGAGACGGACGACGUCGGGAGCCGUACCCGUUGCAUCCGUCCGGCUGGCACCAACCAACCAAGUCUUGUUCUUUCGGGUUGGUUUCUGGUUAGGAUGAGUUUAAAUAAUACGGAAGGGAAUAGCGUACGCGCGUGCGGGGACAUGCCCGGUUUCCGUUUGUUUCCCAGGCUUUUCGCGUGCGGUGCAGCGCCUUUUCUGAAAAUGAAACAACAAGAUUGAAACCAGCAUCGUCGAGGUGUCACGAGCCUUCUGACAAACCUCGUCCCGCCAAACUUUCACCGAGGGCACAAUUCUCUGAUCUCUCACUGUGUGCCGGUACUGCAAGGGGAGGCGAGCCGCCGUCUCUUGAGCUUGCUUGCAGAGAGGGCAAAUGAUCUAGGGUAGAUGCCCUCUAGGGCCCAAACUUCACGAAUUGCAGGGCGGAAGGGUUUAGUUCUACGAGGCCCUUUGUCGUUGGCAAGGAGCAACGAGAAAUGAUCAGAGAGGGGUGAGGCAAGGCAUGGAGAGUUACCAAAGGAACAGCAACUAUGUUUUCCUUAAUUAUUUGAAGAACAUGUACGACGUGGAGUCCCAUAGCCUCCCCGGCCCCCCAGGGGCGUGGACGGAUCAGAUGUGCAUUGUAUAGUGUUCUUCUCGCUUUCAUUUUCAUAUUUUCAAAACAAAAUACAGAUGCUAUCGGUUACGAAUGCGGAGUGGGUGUUACUCAAAUAAGGAUACAUAUCAGAUGUUUACUUGAUUCUGAAUGGAUACAAAUAACAUGUUAGUCAAGGAAAACAAGUCAAUGGCUAUGUGCCACAAAAUGAUCAAUUUGCGACAUACAAUAAGACAAUGGUAGAUAGGGUUAUGAACAAAUACUACUAUAAUGCUUAAUAUUUUUUAAGUCUAGUCACAAAAAAUAAAAUCUGACUACUUAUUAGGCUAUUACGUUGGAUAAUUGGCAUAUUAAGGCUAGAAUUGCUUAAAUUAGCUCGUGUACUUUAUUUGUGUACAUAUAUAUCCACUCCCAUACCCACAUGGGUCAAAAUCCCGUAGCAUGUUCGUAUUUGUAUAAUCAAACACAUUAAGCAUCGCGCAAGGGGCGAGCGCCGGUGGUGUCCACGUAGAUUUUACUGUGCUCAGGUGUUUCACCACGUUAUUAAUGAAAGAAAGAAAAAACAAGAGGAGAAACGUCUUCGUCUCGUUUCCUUCCCUUCGAAGGAACUCCACACGCAGUCGUCCACUCCACGCCUUUCCUCGACCCAAGCACGCCGCCUCCUUCUUUCCCCAUCCCAGCCCCCUCCCCCUCUCUGUGGCCUCGUCUCUUCCCCUUUCUCUUCUCAAUCCGGAUCCAUGGAGGUGGCCGGCAGGGACGCCAUCGACCGCGAUGCUAGGGUUCCUAGCCGCCGCCACGCGCACAGCCGUCCGGAGCCACCUCCACUCUGUCGCCCAUUGACGGUCCUCUCCACUGUCGCCCAUUGAUGGUCCUCUCCACUGUCGCCCGGAGCUGCUCCGCCCGUCUUUGCCCGGAUCAGCUCAAGCGUGAGGCCACCAUGCGUGGCGGCCGCGUCAGUUCCCCACCACUGUGGCUCCGCCAGCCACCACGAUUCCAUUGCCUUGGAUUCGGUUUUGGCGUGGGCUGGGAACCCUACGGUGUUGUCUGAUGCGUCAUGGGCGCGUGGGGGUUGGUUGGUCGAGGCCAGGUAUGAGCAGCUCCUGAGACUGAUGGAUGGAUGGAUGACGACCACGGAGGCCGAGCAUCAGGUGAAGGGUGGACUCCUUCUGUAUGUUGUAGUCAGCGAGGGAGCGGCCAUCGUCCAGCUGCUUGCUGGCAAAGAUCAGGCUCUGCUGGUCAGGGGGGAUGCCCUCCUUGUCCUGGAUCUUGGCCUCUUGACAUUGUCAAUGGUGAUAGAACUCUCAACCUCCUCAGAUGCAAGGAGGUAAAGAAGAUAUGACGUGCAGCAGGUAUGGAGGAUAUCCGGCAGCAGUUGUUAACCUGCUCCAAUUCACGUCAGAUGCUCUCGAGCAUUUUUGCGCUAUCAUUUCAGGGGUACCAAGAAGCCAAUUUUUUUUUUGUUUGGUACAUCCAAUUUUUCCCAACAAGUAUUCAGUUCCAGCCAGAAAACAUCUAUUAUUACGAAUUCAUUAUUCAGGAUCAUGACACUCCAAUUAUUACGUGGUUCCGGAAAAGUGCCGAGGAGUUCAGCUUGAUUCGUAUACUCAAACAAGAUGCUUAGAAGAUCAGCUACAAAAUCUGGUUAUUUUCUCUUAUGUGGUAAGAUGGUCAUCGACAGAGAAACAUAAUACCAGUGGGUCAUACAGUCCAACUGUAGAUUGAGAUGUCACACUAUGGUUUUCCUUUUAUUUAGGUCACUACUAACUAUUUAUAGCUAUGAGAGUUCAGCAGAGGAAUUCUAUUCUGGAUCAUUUUUUCCUGAACACAGCCUCGGCUCUACUCACUAGAUAGACAAUGUCCAACUCAAAGAAUGCAUGCGAACACUCUCAAAUGUAGGCGCAGUGCGAUUUCAAGCAACACAGAUUUCAUAUUCCCUACUACUGCAAGUAGUUAAAUCAUCCCACGGCCUUCCAGAUUUUCCUAAAAUUUUGCUAUGGUCUCUUUGCUAAUUGGAUAUAGGACUUGAUAUUGACUUGAUAGCUGCAUAACGAAUGCAUUGCUUGAAUGGUGGAUGCUGAUCUUCGACUGACUAACUUUCUUCCGUGCAUUGCAGGGGACAAGGAGUAGGAUGGUGGAUGCUGAUCUUCAACUUUGAGUAGCUUUCUUCGGUGCAUUGCAGCAGACAAGGAGUAGGAUGGCGGAUGCUGAUCUUCGACUUUGAAUUAAUUCUAUUUUUCUUUCAAGUCUUAUUAUGGUCUCGUUUUUUUUCUCUACUGGAUUUUAUCAUGUUUUUUCUGUUUAUCUUUUAUUUUUUAAUCCACGAGUGUUUUUUGAAUUUCAGCAACAUCAUUUAAAUUCUUGAGCAUGUUCUUCAAAAUUGUGACCAUUUUCUUAAAAUAUGCGAAGAUUUCUUCAUAUCCAUGAACUUUAAAUUUAUGACCAUUUAAAAAAAAUCAUGAACAAUUAUAAAAUUCGUGACAAUUUUUUGUAUCGGUGAAGAAUUUUUAAAAUUUUGCAAACAUUGUUUAAAUUCAAUAAUAUAUUUCAAAUUUUGUGAAAAUUUCCGGAGAUUCACAAAAAACCCUAAAAUCACGAAUGUUUUAAAAUUUUGUUGAAAAGUGUAUGAAUGGAAUGUUUGUUCCAACAUUGUCAUGCGGUACCCAUGACCCGACUAGACCCUUACAGGAAGGGUCCACUUUGAGGGAGAAAAAAAACACUCUGGAACUUUCCCAAGCCUGUAUUCCGAGAAAAAUGCCACUAAAGGUAAGAAUCCGAAUGACUCGGAUAUAAGUAUAUGCAUUUUCUCGAAUAUGGAUAUAGGAAUCUCUAGUGAUUCACGGUCACUUGUCAAUCUCAGUUGUUGGAGCCCGGCAGAUCCUUUGGCUCGUGACACGAGCAGAAACCGAUGAGGAGACGACAUCGAGUUGCACGAAUUUUUUUUCUUUUUGUAGGAUCUGUUGUGUUUUUUUCUUGAACAUUAGUACAGACAGAAACGCUCAUAUACACGCGCAUACACUCACCUCUAUGAACGCAUACACGCACACCUUACCGCUAUGAGCAUCUCUGAGAGACUAUAAAUCUAGGAAUAAUGCGAGCACCAGGAUUUAAACCCUGAUGGGUUGGAGAUAUCACUGUCCACCUAACCAUCUCAACCACAGGUUGGUUCGCCUGUUGUGUGUUUCUGGUUAGGCUGAGACAUCGCCAAAGCGUACGGAAAACAAAGAUAAAUGAUGGAUGGCGUAUGUACGUGCCUCUUUGUUUUCUCACAAUCAGAUUUUAUUUAUGCGUACAAGUGUCAGUACGUCACCCCCGUAACGAAAACGCGUACCGGUCGCCGUCUGCUGUACGUACGUACCAAGCAUUUUUUUUUUCAGGUAAAACUUGUGCCUACGCAGACACGCUAUCACCAUUCACCGGUUCACCACCAUGCCCGGACCGCAACUGGAAAACGCUCGUGGAAGGUCAAGGUGCUGCAAAAAGGAAUUUCAAAAAAGGUAAAUCGUGCAAGCAAAGGAAUUUCAAAAGGAAAGUCGUGCAAGAAAAGGAAACGAAGGUUAACAUCUGAAUCUACAAUACGCAUCCAGAAACAACAAGAAGCAAAUCUGUGUCCGGAAUUUCUGGAUGCACUGCACAGCGCAAGUUAUUAACAUCGGCUUCGGUACAAACACCGCAUCAAUCAUCUAUCCAAGAAGGUUAACAGCUGAACUUCAACUGCUUCGGUUGGUGAAGGCAAAUGGGUCACUCACAGAAAAAUUCCAGACACAAUUUGCUUGUUGCUAUAAAAAGAUUUGAGGGAAGGGCUGGAGAUGCUCUAACCACGCGGCUUGCAUCUAGCAUUCUCAACAGAGCAUCGCCACACCGAGAACUGAAUUCAUCAGAUCUCAUCACAAUUCACAAACCGGAAACCGAUCAGACAUUCAGAUCAUUGCAUAAUCUCUAUUCAAAAGGAAAUUAAUUAAAAGUGCACAUUCAUUCAGAAAGACACAUCCACACCAGUAUCCAUCCAUUCAAUCAGUUCUGGAGACACAUCCACAAUUUUAACCGGUCUCCUAUAUCAACUUAGUGGAGUAAAUUUGGCUUUUUACUUCACUAAGUUUGACCUAGUCAAUCCCCUAUACGGCCUAAUGAAGUAAAUUUUUUACUUCUUCCCUGAAAUUCUGAGUAUAUUUACUCCAUCAAUGGCCGAGUAAAAUCGGCCCCUCUUCUUUCCUCGCCCCUUCAAUGGCCGGACGUGGUGGCCCCUCUUUUUACUUCACCGUUGAUCGCGUGUGGGUCAUCCUCCGCGGGCUCUUCAUCGAGCCGCCGUCGUCGGUCGCCCAAUCCUCCUGCCGUCGUGCCCCUACGCCGGUUUGAGGACUUCAUCGUCCUCCCUUGGGGUCCGGCAACGGCGGUGGGGGACAUGGGUCACCGAGAUUACGUAUCAGGAGGCUCACACCCACCGGUGGCUCCAUAGCUUCCACACAGCCGAGCUCGCGCCCAUGGAGUACGACCGCUGGCAGGUUCGUUACCACGGCGCGACGGCUCGGCUCGAUUUCCCCUUCGACACACGUCCGGGCGACCAGGCUCGGCUCAAUUUCCCCUUCGACACACGUCCGGUCGACCACGUCCCGCCGGAGCCGGGGGUGGUGAGCUCAGCGGGAGGACCGCAAGGCGAGGGAGCGCCUCGAGGCCGAGGCUGCCGACGAGGCCUACAUGCAAGAGCUCCGCCGGCAGCACCCGGAGCUCGUGGAGGCGGAGCGGAUGAUCUUUGCCAGCGUGGAGGGCGGCAAGGUUAUCGUGCUCUCAUCCGGCGACGAGGUCGAAGGCGGCAAGGUGGGCGCGAGGAUGAGGAGAUCGACAUCGACGAGUAGAGGAAUGUCUUCCCCGACGACCCCAACGACGGCAUCAGCCCGGAUCCGGCUUGCGGCACACCGUACAUGACGAGAAAGGAUUGGCUCGACCUCCACUUCGACCGAAAGUAGUUUAGCUGCUUAGUUUAGUUUAAAUUUAUGUUUUAUGUUUGGUUGUGCAAAACUAUCUAUCUUUAUGUUUGAAUGCAUGCUACUUUCAGUUCAAAUUGCUUUGAAACUUGAUCAAAUUGAAGUUUACUCUGUUAAGCUUAGGGGAUCGGCUACUAAAGGUUUUAUUAUUCCGCUAAUUUUUAGGGGAUUGACUAAAGAUGGCGUGAGUAAAACGUUGAGCCCACCAUCUGGAAGGGCUAGAGAUGCUCUAAUCGUGCAAGAAAGGAGUUUCAAAAGGAAAAUCGUGCAAACAAAGGAAACGGUCGGCGGAAACCAUAACCACGACGAGUAAAUCGGAACGUAAGGAGUAGUAUUGUAAAGAUUAGACUUGAGGGAAGGUUAACAUCUGAAUCUACAGUACGCAUCCAGAAACAACCAGAAGCAAAACUGUGUCCGGAAUUUCUAUAUGCACUGCACAGCCCAGCCCAAGUUAUUAACAGCUACAAACAUCGCAUCAAAGCAUCUAUCCAAGAAGGUUAACAGCUGAACUGAAACAAUACGAGAUGGUAACAAUUGCAAACCGUGCAACAAGAUAUUCACAGAUUUUAAGGGUUGCGGUUCCCAUACUUAAUUGAGAAGUUGGAUAUGAUGCAUCGUGCAAGUAUUUAAUUUAGUAAUUAGUGCUCCAAGGUACUUGUUCUACAAGUCAGGCGCAGCUUGCAAGCCAGCACGGCAGCUACAAUAAAGGGCGCAAACAGGAAACACACCGAAAGUCGACUGUUAAGAACACCACUCACGCUGAUCAAGUAGUGAAAUCAGCUCUCCACUUCAACAAGUGGUGAUAAGAGGCAUGAACAUUGCUAAACAUCAACAAGACCACUUAGUAAACAGAAUGAAGCAGAGUCCAUGAGGCAGAUCAGCUGGCAAAUAUUUCAAAAGCAGAGCAAAACGGCUUGUUCACAGGCAGUAGCCAUGGAAGGUUACCAAAACAAGGAUGGCAAUGUAACAGUCACUUCUGAUCAACACAAAAAUAAGAGAUCAGCAGGCUCAUGUUUGAUCCAAUUCAUACACAUUGCAGCUCAUGAGGAUACAAAAAACUAGGCUGUUAAGAAGCAGCACCUCGCUCAACAGCGUCAGAUGAAUGGCGAAGCGUCCACAGCACAACCUUCUGGUGCCGUGAAGAAACCAUGCGGAACAAGAGUUUGUUUGAGCCAAUGCUUACAGGCACAUGAGUCUUGGAAGCUAGCAACCAGUUCGCCAGAGGUGUCAAGGUAAAACAGCCAAUGACCGAUACUGACCAACAAGAACACGUCCCCUACAUCCGAAGCAACACUCGCAUCGAAACUGUUGCUUUGGUAUCAGGACUCGCCAUCGAAACUAACAUUGGCAGGUGAAGGCAAAUGGGUCGCUCACAGAAAAAUUGCAGACACAAUUUGCCUCUUGUUAUAAAGAUUUGAGGGAAGGGCUAGAGAUGCUCUAACCGCGUGACUUGCAUCUACUAGCAUUCUCGACAAGACAUUGCCAUAUCAAGAAGCGAAUUCACCAGAUUUCAUCACAAUUCACAAACCGAAAGCCGGUCAGCCAUUCAGAUCAUCGCAUAUUCUCUUUUCAGAAGAAAACUAAUGAAAAGUGCACAUUUAGAAAGACACAUAAACACAUUAAUUUUAUCAUGGUCCGAAGAAACAAACAUUCAGAUGAAUCCACAUCCACACAUUUUAUCAGAAAGUGCAUCUACACAUCCUCAAACAUCAUUCAUAAAAUGUAUCCAUCCAUUCAAUCAAUCAGAAAGAAAGAAACAGGGUGUGAAGAAGAACGAAUCACUUCUUCAUUAAUUUUAUUCACACAUGUUUGAUAAAUUCAGGUCAUGAUAAUCCAUGAAUUUUUGACAAAUUAGACAGACAGUCACCAGAUAUAUACACAGGGACACGACCAAUUAACAGCAGAACAGAGCAGUAUACACACAGGGACACGAUCAAUUAACAGGAGAGCAGAUGCGGAUGGAAGGGAAUUGCGCAGCAGCAGCAGAGGCGGGGGGAUGCGGGCGGCUGACCUCUCUCUGUUGCACGUCUUAUUAUUUGCAAAUUGAAUGAGAUCGGGUGAGAUCAGACCACGAUCCAGUCCUCCUCCCCGUCGGAGAACUCGAGCGCGAUGGUGAUGCCCUGCACCACGCAGAACCCCAUGUCCUCCUCCUCCUCGUCGGCGUCGGCGUCGUCGGUGAUUUCGGCAUCCUGCUCCUCGAUUUCAUCGCUGGGUGUUACUGAUAUGUUGUUGCCAUCUUCUUGGCCGUCCGGCGCAGGGGCCGCGCUGGCCUGGAGGCCGGCGAUGAGGUCGUACAGGUCGGAGAUCCCCCUUGGGGGGGCCUGAAGGUCGGUGCCGUCGUCCUGGUCCUCGUCGUCGUCGUCCUCGUCCUCGGCGUGCCAGCUGUUGCCGCCGGCGAGGUAGGCGAGCACGGCGGAGGCGGAGGCGCCCUUGUAGUCGGGCACGCCGCCGGUGCCAGCCGGAGCGUUCCCAACGCCGUCGACGAGGCGCCAGGAGACGAGGCGGUGGUUGAGGGCGACGUCGGAGGCGCGCAGCUUGUGGGCGCCCUUGGCCUUGUCCCGGGCCUUGGCGGCGGGGUGCGCGUGGCAGCCGGCGCAGCGGGGCCGGCGGCACCGGCCCGUGUCCCUGGACGCGUUGGUCGGCUUGGACGGCGCCCUGGCGUACGCCACGCCGGCGAGCUCCAGCGCCGCGGCCGCCGCGUCGCCGCCGGUGCCGGCGGCCACCCGCAGCAGCUUGUUGCGGUUGACCCGGACGGCGCCGUGCUGGAAGCCCUCCCUCUUCAUCGGCGAUGGAUUUGGGUGGGCGUUGGGUUGGGAAGGGAGAAAGGAGGAGACUUUGGGGGAAGUGGUAUGGUGGAUGGUCGGUGGUUGGAUGCGGCAGGGUGGUACUCCUACAAGGGGAGAGGGGAGGCGUGGGACAAGUGUGUGGUUGGUUGGGCAAGUGUGUGGGAGUCGCCAAGGCCGGUUGGUGGUGGGGUGUGGUCAAGGGCGGUGUGGGCACGCAAGGCUCUAAAUUCUUCUUCUCAUAUCCAUCCGUAACGAAAAUGGCUUUUAAUAAGAAAGAAGAAAGACGAGGCAGAUGGGGUCGACAUAAGUAAGUAAUCGCACAUUCGCACAUUCGCACAUACGCGGUAUCGUCCCGGAAUGUGCUACGGAGUGCACACGGAUCUAGGGCCAGUCUUCAGUUUUGCGGCAAAGCCAACUACUCCCUCCCUCCUUCCGUCCCCAAUUACUUGCCGCAGAAAUAGAUGAUAAAAUUUCGGACUAAAGGAGCAGACCGUGGUCAUGCUUAAGAAGUACUCCUACCUGAAUAAAGGGAAACUCAAAACGAAGACAAAUUGACGGCGUUUUCCGUUGUAGCAUAAUUUAUCUACGCCUUAGGAAUAGCCCGCCCUGCGAGCUAAAAGGCCCAAACGAUGACCCACACAGGAGGACGUUUGGGGCCGCUUGGCGGCGUGAACGGGUGCUUCCUAUAUAGCGUAUAGGUCGCUCGUAAGCGAAAUACUUGGGGAGCGCCUAUUCGGCGCUGAAGGCGCCGCCGAAGGCAGCUGGCGCCUGCGGCAGCCCCUGCUGGGCCGGCCCACAAACGCGCACGCAGAGAAAAGUGUAUUUUUACGCGAAAAGACAUCAAAAAAAGAAGCUCCCUGAGAAUCGAACUCCCGCCCACACGCUUGUCUCCGAGGUUGGUCAACCGGUACACCUAGUUGCUGCUAGUGAUUCGUUUCGGCGUGUGUUGAUUUAAGAAACAAUGUAGCAGCGCUACUUAUUGUACACCCCCUCGCUUAGAUUUUGACUUAUUUGAAAACGUUAAUGUAUGGAAAAAUGUGAACAAAUUUGGAAAGUUGACGAACAUGCACAAAAAAGUUGGCCAAUGUAAAAAAGGUUCAUAUAUUCAAAAAAGUCCACGAAUUCAAAAAUAAAAGUUCAUGAAAUGGAAAAAAGUGCACUAAUUUUGGAAAAACCGUUCACAACAAUGAAAAACAACCAUGAGUUUGAAAAAAGUUCAUCGAAUUUGAAAAAAAGUUCAUUGAAUUUGGAAAAAGUUCAUCAAAUUUCAAAAAAGUUCAUCAACUUUUCAAAAAAGUUCAUCGGAUUUGAAAAAUAGUUCAUCAAAUUUAAAAAAAGUUCAUCAACUUUUCAAAAAAAUUCACCGGAUUUGCAAAAUAGUUCACCAAACUUGAUUUUUUUUAUCAAAUUUGUAAAAAAGUUCAUCGAAUUUUAAAUAAUAACAUCGGAUCUGAAAAAGUUCAUCAAAUUUCAGAAAAAGUUUGUCAAUUUAGGAAAAAGGUUCACAAAAUUUAAAAAAGUGAGCAUUAAAGAAAACAAAAAUAAUUAAUAGAAAAGGUUAAGAAAAAAGAAAAAAACGAAUGGAACUAAAGAAGAAGUAAAAAAGAGUACAAUAGUACAGCAACGGCAGCGUAGCCUGGUGGUUUGAACGAAGAGUUCGCCUCGGAUAUGUUGUGUGUUCGAAUCCCCGUUUCGGAUGUUUUUUGCGAUUCUAAAAUAAUAGAUGGGCCGGCCCAGCGCGCCCGCGGUGCAGGCGCCCGUUUGCAGAAUGCACGUUAACGGGCGCCUGCAGCGUCAAAUAGGAAACGCCGGCGAUUAUUUAUCCCGUUGGGAAGUGCUAAUUAAGCCACCAGGCAGCCCACCCUGCGAGCUGAAAAGCCCAAACGAUGGCCCACAUAGGAGGAUGUUCGGGGCCCGCUCGGCGUCGUGAACGGGCGGUUCCUAUAUAGUGCAUAGGUCCCUGGUAAGCGAAAUACACGGCGACUAUUUAUCGCCUUAAGCAACGCGAGAGGGUAACAGUGGCUGAAGGUUUCGUCCGUGUGCAUUGUAUUGGACCGGCCCGUUGGAGCGAGUAGCAAUUAAAAAUAGCAACGAGUCAGAUUUCGGCUGCUGCUAACCACUCCGCCUCCGUCUUGUGAUUAGUUGUAGGGCGCGUUGUACAUAAGGCUAUUCUAGCCGGGUUUUUUUUUGUGUGUUUUCUUUUGUUUCUUGUAUUUUUUCUUCUCCAUUUUCUUUUCAUUCUUUCUUGCAUUUUGUUUCUUCUUUUUUGUUUCCUUGCAUUUUGUUUCUUUGUUUUUUGUUUCCUUGCAUUUUCUUUCUUCUCCUUUUUUGUUUGUUUUUUUCUACUCCUUUUUUUUGGUUUUCUCUUACUCCCUCCUUCCUAAAAUAUAAGACUCGAUGGAUCGAUGCAUAACUUUGACCACUAAUAUAUAUCAAAGUACAUGGAUUGAACAUGUAUAAAUGGCAUUGUUGUAUUUGUCUUGCAAUUUUUUUUUCAUAUGUCUGCAUACUAAUUUUAUAGACAUACAUUACGUGAAAAUUAUAGUCAAAGUUGUACAAUGAAGACCAAAAAACUAAAUCAAUGCCUUAUAUUUUGGGAAGGAGGGAGUAUGUUUGUUUUCGUUUUCACUCUACAUUUCUGUAUAUAUAAAAAAAUCAAAUACGUGAUCAACAUUUUUUUAUACAAGAUCAACAUUGUCCGAGCACUUAUUCAACAUUUUUUAAAUACUUGUUCAGCAUUGUAAUAUUUAUUCAACAUUUUUGGAAUAUUUUUUCAACAUUUUAAUCCUUAUUCAACAUUUUCUAAUAUUUUUUCUACAAUUUUAAUACUUAUCAACAUUUUCAAAUACUUGUUCAACAUUUUCAAAUAGUUGUUCUAUAUUAUUCAAAUACUUGUUCAACAUUUUUUUAUACAUGACCAAGAUAUUUUCAAAUACUUGUUCAACAUUUUUUCAAAUGCUUGAUUAAAAUUUUUAUACAUGAUCAACAUUUUUAAAAAUACUUCUCCAACAUUUGCCAAAUACCUAUUCAACAGUUUUCAAGUAAUUGUUCAACAUUUUCAAAUGUUACAAUAGAGUGAUUUUUCUACAAUAUAUACAUUUAGAUUAUUUUAAAUUAUAAACAAAAUUGAAAAAACGUAACAGAAAACGUCAAAAAAAACGAAAAAGGAGGCUGUGGCCUGCCUUGAUGGUGGGCCAUCCAAGGAGAAAAUUGUGUCUAUAGUCGUCGUAGUCGCUGGCGACGUCCAACUUGAUCCUGAAACUUGCGUAUUGCUUCAAUAUGGUCCCCGUACAUGAAAAUACAUGGUCAAUACGGUCCCUGAGGUUGAAACAACAGUCCUGGCUCUACACGUUGCAUAUGUAUGUCGUAUUUGCGUAGGUGACACGUGGGCUGAAAAAAAAACGUAAGCCACUUGAACAAAACGUGCGCCGUGACGUCUGUAUAUGGCCCAUAUGCCAGUGGGCCGUGGAAAAAGCGAAAAAAAAGGAAAAAUAGCACGCGCUCUGGGAUUCGAACCUGCACACCGUGGCACAUACCUGCGCGAGCAAGCCACAGGAACAAGCGCUUGAUCUUGUAUAUAAUGUGAUGCAUACUAUAUUACUACGUCCGUUCUUGGCUUUAAAAAAAUUCGUAAAUUUUAAGAAUGUUAAUGAAUUUUUUAAACGUUCGUCGAUUCAAAAAAUGUUCUAGAUUAAAAAAUAAAGGUUCGUUUCUACAAAAUAUGUCCAUGAUUUAAUAAAAAAUAUUCAAAACAAUGUACGGGAAUAUAAAAAGUGUGAACCGAAUUUGAAGAAUGCGUGCAGCCAAGUUUCGAAUGCGCGACCCCCAGAAAAAAUUUGCGCGCGCAAGCCACCACAUUAAGGGCCUUGUACCGACAAAAUCUUGAUAAACUGCUAUAUAUAUACAUAUAAACAUCAUUGUCCAUUCCGCUAUAGUAGGCGCAGACACAUUUUUUGAAAACGCAUGUGCUAGCGAAUUACGCUGGCACUAGUAUUUUUCUUUUUACGAAAACACUAGUAUUUUUUCCGCAUGGUUUAAAACCAUAGUUUCUCUUCUUUUUUAUUCCUUUUCUGUUUAUUUUAAUUUGUCAAAUAAUGUUUUAAGUAUUCAACAUUUGUUAGCGCUUUCAAAACUAGUUCAGAAUUUUUUUUAACGAAUCAGAUUUUUCGGAAUAGUUUGAAGUUUCAAAUUUUGGACACAAUAUAAAAAACUAUUAGAAAUUUUUUAGGCAGUAAAAAACCAUUUGUUCACUGAACAAUAACAUGUGUAUUUAUCUGAAAUUUUUCUGAAAUCACGAACAUUUUUGAAAUUCUUGAUUUUAUUUUUAUUUUGUGAACUUUCUUUACAAAUUCGUGAACAUUUUUUGAAUUCCCAAGCAUCUUUUUGAAGUCAUCAAUAGUUUUUGAAAUCAUAUUUGUUUGAUUUAAAAUCAGCAUCUUUUUCUGAAAUUUCGGACAUUUUCAUAUCCCGAAUUAUUGAAAAGGAAAAAAACAAAAGGAAAAGAAGANNNNNNNNNNNNNNNNNNNNNNNNNNNNNNNNNNNNNNNNNNNNNNNNNNNNNNNNNNNNNNNNNNNNNNNNNNNNNNNNNNNNNNNNNNNNNNNNNNNNNNNNNNNNNNNNNNNNNNNNNNNNNNNNNNNNNNNNNNNNNNNNNNNNNNNNNNNNNNNNNNNNNNNNNNNNNNNNNNNNNNNNNNNNNNNNNNNNNNNNNNNNNNNNNNNNNNNCGCCGUAUAGGAGCUCUCUCGUGGACGCAGCCCCCGCCACCAGAUCGGCCGGCCGACGUGGUGUCGUCCGUCGCCGCGCACGCCGUCAACGAAAGGAACGCCGCAAGUUUGCUAGUGCAACUACAUUUCAACUCCAGAGACCCUAUCGUCUACAACUAGGUAGACAUCGCGUUCUCAUGUUCCGGUGCCCCACGGUGGAGCACCACGGGCUCGCCCGGCUCCCGCAACAGCGCUGCCAAUAGCACGUCAAUCGUCUGGUCGAAAAGGCCUUGUACGGCGGUACGCCAUCGCGCACGUCGGACACGCUGGAGUUGGGGCGCACAUCAUCGAUGAGCGCGAGAGAAGAGGCACAAUCCCCGGCGCGUGGUUGUAGCCGAGCUGGGAAGGCUCGAUCGAAGCCGAGAAUCCCAUGUGGUCAAACCAAGAGAUAGGAAGACCAAGGUAGGUAUGCGCGCGAAGAGGUUUACACAUCGUCCUCCACGGAAAAAAAAUCCCCGCGAUCUCGGGGUGCGGUGAGGGCAGCAGGGCAGCGUGCGGUGUCAUUUUUCCGUGAUUGGCGGGGUCGAGGGACUGCGUUCCGGUUGCUGUUCGUAAUGGGGAGUAUCAUAUAUUAGGCUCAACGCGUGGACGAAACCAGGCGGUUUUCCAUGUUUAACAACGUGGGCGAGAACACGGGGAGGAGUCGGAUGAAAUACGAGUGAAACCUUUUUCAUGGGAGAGGAAACCUUAUUCUUUUUUAGGAUUUUUGUAAGUUGUUCAUUUCUAAUCCAGAUCAGUGACAGUACAAAAAAAUCGCAACUCUGGCUCGUUAGACACAAAUGCAAACACUAUUGUGAAUACAUUAUUGGCAACUUAUCUCAUGAAUAGAAAUACUAACAUAGUGCUUUAGCGUUCAUGAAAUCCAUAAACUAUAGUCAGAAUUUAGAUAUAAAACUAAAUGUAAGAUUUCAUGAGAAGUUGACACCAUCAGAAAAAGUGGUAGACUAAUAAACUUAACAACUUGCUUGGCCAAUUGCCAAAUGUCUUCUGCAUCCUACCAUUUUAGUUACAGAGUUAAAUACGCGCACAUGAAUGAUGAGAGAUUUGAAAAUGCUAAAAGACGAAUCUGCUAGCAACCCAAACAAUCACAACUUAUAAGGGGAACUGUUUUAUCAUUUACGCUGGGCAAAACAAGUCAAGAUCAAUGUACAGUUGGGCUUCGAUACAAUCAUAGGUCAGACAAACCUGAUGAAACAUAUAAACACACAAGUGUAUGAUAUAGAUUUACUGCAUGAACACGACAAAAUAUCCUUUAUCAUUGCCAACAAAGUGACAAAAUCUUAACCAAACCUAGGAGGAAAAAUCACUGCAAGACUUCAACAGGGUUGUGUCUUACUGAAAACAACAAAUAGUUGACAGUUGAACAAUGAUGCAUCUUUAAGGUCCUUCUCCAACAAAAUAAAUUUUUACCCUCGGGAGCCUUUCCAUAACCUUGCGUUGAGAGCAUUAACAACACGGCAAAAUGACAUGUAGCAAACAUUGGUGUAUGAUAGGUUGAAGUACGGCCAGCUCUCAAAUGCUUACUUUAUUACAAAAAAUAGACCAUUACGACUACAACCUAUCUACUUAACAUUAGAAGUGAAACUGAUUAUAGCACGCUUCGACAGUUAUUUUGGAGGUUAAAGAAAGUACUGGAAUUCCUUGUGUUUUUAGAUCGAAACAUGGUUCAAAUCCUUAAUUUUCCCUUGCAAAAAUCAUACAUACACAUAUAACAAAUUUUACCAUCCGUCACUGAACUCCAAUGGUAGCUUCCUCCAGAUGAACACCCAAGGUGGCAAAGAAUAAUUCAAGUGCAGAAUAUGUGACCAGUUGGAAGUAAUCUACCGCAGAAGGCUAGCACAUUAUGCGCAACAUUUUAAAUAAACAAGAUAAUAGGGGGAUGUAAUUAAGAACCUGCUGCCUCUGCAGAUGUUCAGACCAUGUAUUCAGAGUAUGGAUGUACAUGAUGCUAACUGUUUGGUGCCUAUAUUCACAAUCACACCAACCAAAGCAAUAAAUUAACCACUAAGAUUUAUACUAAAACUAAAGAAGAUGUACAUAGAAGGAAGAAACACCAACUAGCUGCUAGUGGUGCUUGGCACAAAGAAUUAACCACGGGACCAAAACAUAACAAUAAACUAAAAAAAGUAAAGCUAUCCACAAUAAACACAUAUUUUAUGGCCAUGGUGUAGAGCAUGAGAAACCACAAACACACAAUACAAAAUUAGUGCUUCUUUGUGUCAACAAAGUUACUAGUGGCAAGUGCUUCUCCAUUGUAUGAAUACCAUUACCAGCAUAAAAAUUAACAGAGAAACCUAAGUUUACUUGCUUAGACUUGAUACGUCUCCAACGUAUCUACUUUUCCAAACACUUUUGCCCUUGUUUUGGACGCUAACUUGCAUGAUUUGAAUGAAACUAACCCGGACUGAUGCUGUUUUCAGCAGAACUGCCAUGGUGUUGUUUAUUGUGCAGAAAACAAAAGUUCUCGGAAUGACCUGAAAAUCCACGGAGAUAACUUUUGGAAAAUAUAAAAAAUACUGACGAAAGAAUCAAGGCCAGGGGCCCACACCCUGUCCACGAGGGUGGGGGCGCGCCCUCCCCCCUGGGUGCGCCCCUGUCUCGUGGGCCCCCUGAUGCUCCAUCGACCUCUACUCCAACUCCAUAUAUUCCGUUUCGCGGAGAAAAAAACCAGGGAGAAAGUUUCAUCGCGUUAUACGAUACGGAGCCGCCGCCAAUCCCUAAUCUCUCUCGGGAGGGCUGAUCUGGAGUCCGUUCGGGGCUCCGGAGAGGGGGAUUCGUCGCCGUCGUCAUCGUCAACCAUCCUCCAUCACCAAUUUCAUGAUGCUCACCGCCGUGCGUGAGUAAUUCCAUCGUAGGCUUGCUGGACGGUGAUGGGUUGGAUGAGAUUUACCAUGUAAUCAAGUUAGUUUUGUUAGGGUUUGAUCCCUAGUAUCCAUUAUGUUCUGAGAUUGAUGUUGUUAUGACUUUGCUAUGCUUAAUGCUUGUCAUUAGGGCCCGAGUGCCAUGAUUUCAGAUCUGAACCUAUUAUGUUUUCAUGAAUAUAUGUGAGUUCUUGAUCCUAUCUUGCAAGUCUAUAGUCACCUAUUAUGUGUUAUGAUCCGACAACCCCGAAGUGACAAUAAUCGGGAUACUUCUUGGUGAUGACCGUAGUUUGAGGAGUUCAUGUAUUCACUAUGUGCUAAUGCUUUGUUCCGGUUCUCUAUUAAAGGAGGCCUUUAUAUCCCUUAGUUUUCACUAGGACCCCACUGCCACGGGAGGGUAGGACAAAAGAUGUCAUGCAAGUUCUUUUCCAUAAGCACAUAUGACUAUAUUCGGAAUACAUGCCUACAUUAUAUUGAUGAACUGGAGCUAGUUCUGUGUCACCCUAUGUUAUAGCUAUUACAUGAAGAAUCGCAUCCGACAUAAUUAUCCAUCACUGAUCCAAUGCCUACGAGCUUUUCACAUAUUGUGCUUCGCUUAUUUACUUUUCCGUUGCUACUUUUACAAUUACUAUAAAAUUGCUAUCUUUACUUUUGCCACUGUUACCAUUACUAUCAUACUACUUUGCUACUAAAUACUUUGUUGCAGAUACUAAGUUAUCCAGGUGUGGUUGAAUUGACAACUCAACUGCUAAUACUUAAGAAUAUUCUUUGGCUCCCCUUGUGUCGAAUCAAUAAAUUUGGGUUGAAUACUCUAUCCUCGAAAGCUGUUGCGACCCCCUACACUUGUGGGUUAUCAAGACUUAAAUGAUGCCAAGUUGCCAACCCUCCUCCAAGUGAGAGCUCAUUGUUUAGUGAUGUCAUCUCUCUUUAGCAGAUAAUCUGUACAUAUGUGAGCCCCCCACAAUUCAUCCUGCUGCCCAGUAGGUAAUUCCAAUAUGACCAAUGGCUCCAAAUGGUUACCUCUGAUACAACUAGAGGAGAACUCACUUCCAAACACUUUCCAAAGUUGAAUGAAUACAUAUCUAUUUCGUUAGUUGAAACAAAGAUAGAUCACUAUGAGUCUGCAUAUGAGCAAAUCAAAAUGAUUUGUAUAUAAAACCAUAACUGAAAACAGAUUAAGCUAAAGCCAGGUGAAUUGACCGUAUUACUUAAAUUUGGGACAUACAUCAGAUCGAUCCUCCAAUUAUCCACUAUGAAUUGCAAAAAUCAGAAGUAGAAUAUUAGGAAUGCACCACCACAUGAUAGAAACCUUACUGUGGCUCAUUGUCUCAAUGCACCAGCAACUAACUUGAAAACUGAAAUUUUAAUGCACUGCAGAAUGGCCUGAUCUCACACUUAUUUUGUUCCAAUAUGUGCGUUUAAAACAUGAAUGAGGAUGAGAAGUUCAUAAGCAAUCAAUGGUUUCUUCUCUGCUGAGUGAUAGCGUUGCAUACCAGUAUUCAGGGAUCAAAUUAUCAAUUCCAUCACACGUUAGCAACGACCAACCCAGCAUCUAACAGUCAUACAACAACGGACAACCAACACACAAUUACAUCAUAGUCUGUUCUUGGCUCAUGCGAAUCUGAAAUUAGUCGGCAGUUCCCCUUUACAAGCAGCAUCAUACUCAUCUUCAUCGUCCUCUAUGUAAAAAAUUCCUCGCAAUCUCGGGGUGUGGCGAGGGCAGCCGAGUAGUGUGCGGUCGCAUUUUUCCGUGAUUGGUGGGGUCGAGGGAUUGCGUUCCGGUUGCUAUUCAUAGUGGGGAGAAUCAUAUAUUAGGCUCAAUGCGUUGACGAAACCAGGCGGUUUUCCAAGUUUAACGACGUGGGGGGAGAAAGCGAGGAGGAUUCAGAUGAAAGACGAGUGAAAGCGUUUUCACAGGAGAGGAAACCUUAUUCCUUUUUAGGAUUUUGGUAAGUUGUUCAUUUCUAAUCCAGAUCGGCAUCGGUACAAAAAAAAGACGGGUCAUGCGCUAUGUUGGGGAACGCGGUAAUUUCAAAAAAUGUCCUACGAUCACGCAAGAUCUAUCUAGGUGAUGCAUAGCAACGAGAGGGGAGAGUGUGUCCACGUACCCUUGUAGACCGAAAGCGGAAGCGUUUCAAUAGCACGGUUGAUGUAGUCGAACUUCUUCGCGAUCCAACCGAUCAAGUACCGAACGUACGACACCUCCGCGUUCAGCACAUGUUCAGCUCGAUGACGUCCCUCAUGCUCUUUAUCCAGUUGAGGACGAGGGUGAAUUCUGUCAGCACAACAGCGUGACAACAGUGAUGAUGAUGUUACCGGCGCAGGGCUUCGCCUAAGCACUACGAUGGAAUGAUCGAGGUGUGUAACUGUGGAGGGGGGGUACCACACAUGGUUAAGAGAAACUUGUGUCUCUUUGGGGGGGCCCUGCCCCCGUAUAUAAAGGAGGGAGGAAGAGAGGCCGGCCCCCUAGGGGUGCGCCAAGUGUAUGGAGUCCUACUAGGACUUCCAAGUCCUAGUAGGAAUCCUUCCCCUUUUAGGAGUAGGAGAGAAAGAAGGAGAGAGGGAGUAGGAAAGGGCAAGGGGGCGCCGCCCCUUCCCCUAGUCCUAUUCAGACCAAUGGGGGGCGCGCGCCACCUCCCCUUGGCCUGCCUCCUCUAUUUCCCGUAUGGCCCAAUAAUGCCCAUUACUUCUCCCAGUGAAUUCCGUAACUCCCCGGUACUCCAAAAAAUACCCGAAUUACUCGGAACCUUUCCGAUGUCCGAAUAUAGCCUUUCAAUAUAUUGAUCUUUACGUCUCGACCAUUUGGAGACUCCUCGUCACGUCCGUGAUCUCAUCCGGGACUCCGAACAAACUUCGGUUAUCAAAUCACAUAACUCAUAAUACAAAUCGUCAUCAAACGUUAAGCAUGCAGACCCUACGGGUUUGAGAACUAUGUAGACAUGACCGAGACACAUCUCCGGUCAAUAACCAAUAGCGGAACCUGGAUGCUCAUAUUGGCUCCUACAUAUUCUACGAAGAUCUUUAUCGGUCAAACUGCAUAACUACAUACAUUGUUCCUUUGUCAUUGGUAUGUUACUUGCCCGAGAUUCGAUCAUCGGUAUCAUCAUACCUAGUUCAAUCUCGUUACCAGCAAUUCUCUUUAAUCGUUCCGUAAUACUCAUCCCGCAACUAACUCAUUAGUCACGAUGCUUGCAAGGCUUAUAGUGAUGAGUAUUACCGAGAGGGCCCAGAGAUACCUCUCCGAAACACGGAGUGACAAAUCCUAAUCUCGAUCUAUGCCAAUCCAACAAACACCUUUGGAGACACCUGUAGAGCACCUUUAUAAUCACCCAUUUACGUUGUGACGUUUGGUAGCACAGAAAGUGUUCCUCCGGUAUUCGGGAGUUGCAUAAUCUCAUAGUCUGAAGAAUAUGUAUAAGUCAUGAAGAGAGCAGUAGCAAUGAAACUGCAAUGAUCAUAAUGCUAAGCUAACGGAUGGGUCUUGUCCAUCACAUCAUUCUCCUAAUGAUGUGAUCCCGUUCAUCAAAUUACAACACAUGUCUAUGAUUAGGAAACAUAACCAUCUUUGAUUAAUGAACUAGUCAAGUAGAGGCAUACUAGGGACACUAUGUUUUGUCUAUGUAUUCACACAUGUACUAAGUUUCCGGUUAAUACAAUUCUAGCAUGAAUAAUAAACAUUUAUCAUGAAAUGAGGAAAAAAUAAUAACUCUAUUAUUGCCUCUAGGGCAUAUUUCCUUCGGUCUCCCACUUGCACCAGAGUAAGUAAUCUAGUUCACAUCGCCAUGUGAUUUAACAUCAAUAGUUCACAUCUGUAUGUGAUUAACACCCAUAGUUCACAUCGCCAUGUGACCAACAACCAAAGGGUUUACUAGAGUCAAUAAUCUAGUUCACAUUGCUAUGCGAUUAACACCCAAAGAUUACUAAGGUGUGAUCAUGUCUUGCUUAUGAGAGAAGUUUAGUCAAUGGGUCUGUCAUAUUCAGAGCCGUAUGUAUUUUGCAAAUAUUCUAUGUCUACAAUGCUCUGCAUAGAGCUACUCUAGCUAAUUGCUCCCACUUUGAAUAUGUAUCCAGACUAAGACUUUAGAGUCAUCUCGAUCGGUGAAAAAGCUUGCAUCGACGUAACUCUUUCGACGAACUCUUUAUCACCCCACCACAGAGAAACAUUUCCUUAGUCCUCACCAACCGCUGUCCAGUGAUCUACUCUUAGAUCACUAUUGUACCCCCUUGCCAAACUCAUGGCAAGGUACACAAUAGGUCUGGUCAACACAACAUACUUUAUAGAACCUAUGACUGUGGAAUAGGGAAUGACUCUCAUUCUCUUUCUAUCUUCUGCCAUGGUCGGGCUUUGAGUCUUACUCAACUUUACACCUUGUAAUACAGACAAGAACUCCUUCUUUGACUGAUCCAUUUUGAACUCUUUCAAAAACUUGUCAAGGUAUUUACUCAUUGAAAAAUCUUAUCAAGCGUCUUGAUCUAUCUCUAUAGAUCUUGAUGCCCAAUAUGUAAGCAGCUUCACCGAGGUAUUUCUUUGAAAAACUCCUUUCAAACACUCCUUUAUGCUUUCUAGAAAAUUCUACAUCAUUUUCAAUCAACAAUAUGUUAUUCACAUAUACUUAUCAGAAAGACUGUAGUGCUCCCACUCACUUUCUUGUAAAUACAUGCUUCACUCAUCAAGGCAUAUAUUCCAACUCCGAGACGCUUGCACCAGUCCAUAGAUGGAUCGCUGGAGCUUGCACACUUUUUUAGCACCUUUAGCAUUGGCAAAACCUUCUUGUUGUAUCAUGUACAACUCUUCUUUAAGAAAUCCAUUAAGGAAUGCAGUUUUGACAUCCAUUUGCCAGAUUUCAUCAAAUGUGGCAAUUGCUAACAUGAUUUGGACAGACUUAAGCAUCGCUACGAGUGAGAAACUCUCAUUGUAGUCAACACCUUGAACUAGUCGAAACUUUUUGCGACAAUUCGAGCCUUGUAGAUAGUAACACUACCAUCAACGUCCAUCUUCCUCUUGAGGAUCCAUUUAUUCUCAAUGACUUGCUGAUCAUCGGGCAAGUCAAUCAAAGUCCAUACUUUAUUCUCAUACAUGGAUCCUAUCUCAGAUUUCAUGGCCUCAAGCCAUUUCGUGGAAUCUGGGCUCAUCAUCGCUUCCUCAUAGUUCAUAGUUCGUCAUAGUCUAGUAACAUGACUUCCAGAACAGGAUUACCGUACCACUCUGGUGCGGAUCAUACUCUGGUUGACCUACGAGGUUCGGUAGUAAUCUUGAUCUAAAGUUUCAUGAUCAUCAUCAUUAGCUUCCUCACUAAUUGGUGUAGGAAUCACUGGAACUGAUUUCUGUGAUGAACUACUUUCCAAUUCGGGAGAAGGUACAAUUACCUCAUCAAGCUCUACUUUCCUCCCACUCACUUCUUUCGAGAGAAACUCCUUCUCUAGAAAGGAUCCAUUCUUAGCAACAAAGAUUUUGCCUUCGGAUCUGUGAUAGAAGGUGUACCCAAAAGUUUCCUUUGGGUAUCCUAUGAAGAUGCACUUCUCUGAUUUGGGUUCGAGCUUAUCAGGUUGAAGCUUUUUCACAUAAGCAUCGCAACCCCAAACUUUAAGAAACGACAACUUUGGUUUCUUGCCAAACCACAGUUCAUAAGGCAUCGUCUCAAUGGAUUUUGAUGGUGCCCUGUUUGAAUGUAGCUGUCCCUAAUGCAUAAUCCCAAAACGAUAGUGGUAAAUCGAUAAGAGACAUCAUAGAUCGCACCAUAUCCAAUAAAGUGCGGUUACGAUGUUCAGACACACCAUUACGCUGUGGUGUUCCAGGUGGUGUGAGCUGUGAAACUAUUCCACAUUGUUUUAAAUGAAGGCCAAAGUUGUAACUCAAAUAUUCUCCUCCACAAUCAGAUCGUAGAAAUUUUAUUUUCUUGUUACAAUGAUUCUCCACUUCACUCUGAAACUCUUUGAACUUUUCAAAUGUUUCAGACUUGUGUUUCAUUAAGUACAUAUACUCAUAUCUGCUCAAAUCAUCUGUGAAGGUCAGAAAAUAACGAUACCCACCACGAGCAUCAACUCUCAUUGGACCGCAUACAUCGGUAUGUAUUAUUUCCAAUAAGUCACUAGCUCGUUCCAUUGUUUCGGAGAACAGAGUUUUAGUCAUCUUGCCCAUAAGGCACGGUUCGCAAGCAUCAAAUGAUUCAUAAUCAAGUGAUUCCAAAAGUCCAUCAGCAUGGAGUUUCUUCAUGCGCUUUAUACCGGUAUGACCCAAAUGGCAGUGCCACAAAUAAGUUGCACUAUCAUUAUCAACUUUGCAUCUUUUGGCAUCAAUACUAUGAAUAUGUGUACUACCAAGAUUGAGAUUCAAUAAACCAUCAACAUUGGGUGUAUGACCAUAGAAGGUUUUAUUCAUAUAAACUGAAUAAUAAUUAUUCUCUGUCUUAAAUGAAUAACCGUAUUGCAAUUAACAUGAUCUAAUCAAAUUCAUGCUCAACGCAAACACCAAAUAACAUUUAUUUAGGUUCAACACUAAUCUCGAAAGUAUAGGGAGUGCUCGAUGAUGAUCAUAUCAAUCUUGGAACCAUUUCCAACACACAUCGCCACUUCAUCCUCAACUAGUCUCUAUUUAUUCUGCAACUCCUAUUUCGAGUUACUAAUCUUAGCAACCGAACAAGUAUCAAAUACCCAGGGAUUACUACGAGCACUAAUAAGGUACAUAUCAAUAAUAUGUAUAUCAAAUAUACCUUUGUUCAUUUUGCCAUCCUUCUUAUCCGCCAAAUAUUUGGGGUAACUCCACUUCCAGUGACCAUUUCCUUUGCAGUAGAAGCACUUAGUUUCAGGCUUAGGUCUAGCUUUGGGCUUCUUCACGGGAGUAACAACUUGCUUGCCAUUCUUUUUGAAGUUCCCUUUCUUUCCCUUUGCCCUUUACUUGAAACUAGUGGUCUUGUCAACCAACACAUGAUACUUUUUCUUGAUUUGCACCUUCAUCGAUUUCAGCAUCACGAAGAGCUCGAGAGUCGCUUUCGUCAUCCUUGCAUACUAUAGUUCAUCACGAAGUUCCAGUAACUUGGUGAUGGUGACUAGAGAACUCUAUCAAUCACUAUCUUAUCUAGAAGAUUAAAUCCCACUUGAUUCAAGUGAUUGUAGUACCUAGACAUUCUGAGCACAUUCUCAGUAGUUGAGCAAUUCUCCUCCAUCUUUUAGGCAAAGUUCUUGUCAGAGGUCUCAUACCUCUUGAUAUGGGCAUGAGUCUGAAAUACCAAUUUCAGCUCUUGGAACAUCUCAUAUGCUCCGUGACGUUUCAAAAACAUUUUUGAAGUCCCGGUUCUAAGCCGUAAAGCAUGGUGCACUAAACUAUCAAGUAGUCAUCAUAUUGAGUUAGCCAAACGUUCAUAACGUCUGUGUCUGCUCCUGCAAUAGGUCUGUCACCUAACGGUGCAUCAAGGACAUAAUUAUUCUGUGCAACAAUGAGGAUAAAUCUCAGAUCACGGUCCCAGUCCGCAUCAUUGCUACUAUCAUCUUUGAAUUUAGUUUUCUCUAGGAACAUAUAAAAACAUAGGGAAGCUACAACGCGAGCUAUUGAUCUACAACAUAAUUUACAAAAUACUAUCAGGACUAAGUUCAUGAUAAAUUAAAGUUCAAAUAAUCAUAUUACUUAAGAACUCCCACUUAGAUAGACAUCCCUCUAGUCAUCUAAAUGAUCACGUGAUCCAAAUCAACUAAACCAUGUCCGAUCAUCACGUGAGAUGGAGUAGUUUUCAAUGGUGAACAUCACUAUGUUGAUCAUAUCUACUAUAUGAUUCACGCUCGACCUUUCAGUCUCCAGUGUUCCAAGGCCAUAUCUGCAUAUGCUAGGCUCGUCAAGUUUAACCCGAGUAUUCUGCGUGUGCAAAACUGGCUUGCAUCCAUUGUAUGUGAACGCAGAGCUUAUCACACCCUAUCAUCACGUGGUGUCUCGGCACGAAGAACUGUAGCAACGGUGCAUACUCAGGGAGAACACUUAUAGCUUGAAAUUUAGUAAGGGAUCAUCUUAUAAUGCUACCGCCGUACUAAGCAAAAUAAGAUGCAUAAAAGAUAAACAUCACAUGCAAUCAAAAUAUGUGACAUGAUAUGACCAUCAUCAUCUUGUGCUCAUGAUCUCCAUCACCGAAGCAUCGUCAUGAUCUCCAUCGUCACCGGCGCGACACCUUGAUCUCCAUCAUAUCAUUGUUGCCGUCUCGCCAACUAUUGUUACUACGACUAUCGCUACCGCUUAGUGAUAAAGUAAAACAAUUACAUGGCGAUUGCAUUGCAUAUAAUAAAGCGACAACCAUAUGGCUCCUGCUAGUUGCCAAUAACUUUGUUACAAAACAUGAUCAUAUCAUACAACAAAUUAUAUCACAUCAUGUCUUGAUCAUAUCACAUCACAGCAAGCCCUGCAAAAACAAGUUAGACGUCCUCUACUUUGUUGUUGCAAGUUUUACGUGGUUGCUACAGGCUUCUAGCAAGAACCGUUCUUACCUACACAUCAAAACCACAAUGAUUUUUCGUCAAGUGUUCUAUUUUAACCUUUAACAAGGACCAGACGUAGUCAAACUCAAUUCAACUAAAGUUGGAGAAACAUACACCCACUAGCCACCUAUGUGCGAAGCACGUCAGUAGAACCAGUCUCAUGAACGCAGUCAUGUAAUGUCGGUCUGGGCCGCUUCAUCCAACAAUACCGCUGAAUCAAAGUAUGACAUGCUGGAAAAAAGUAUGACUAUUAUCGCCCACAACUCUUUUUGUUCUAUUCGUGCAUAUAACAUCUACGCAUAGACCUGGCUCGGAUGCCACUGUCGGGGAAUGCGGCAAUUUCAACAAAUUUCCUACGAUCACGCAAGAUCUAUCUAGGUGAUGCAUAGCAAUGAGAGGGGAGAGUGUGUCCACGUACCCUUGUAGACCGAAAGCAGAAGCGUUCCAAUAGCACGGUUGAUGUAGUCAAACUUCUUCGCGAUCCAACCGAUCAAGUACCGAACGUACGGCACCUCCGCGUUCAGCACAUGUUCAGCUCGAUGACGUCCCUCGUGCUCAUGAUCCAGUUGAGGACGAGGGUGAAUUCCGUCAGCACGACAACGUGGCAACGGUGAUGAUGAUGUUACCGACGCAGGACUUCGCCUAAGCACUACGAUGGUAUGAUCGAGGUGUGUAACUGUGGAGGGGGGUACCACACACGGUUAAGAGAAACUUGUGUCUCUUUGGGGGGGCCCUGCCCCCGUAUAUAAAGGAGGGAGGAAGAGAGGUCGGCCCCCUAGGGGCGCGCCAAGUGUAUGGAAUCCUACUAGGACUUCCAAGUCCUAGUAGGAAUCCUUUCCCUUUUAGGAGUAGGAGAGAAGGAAGGAGAGAGGGAGUAGGAAAGGGCAAGGGGGCGCCGCCCCCUUCCCCUAGUCCAAUUCGGACCAAUGGGGGGCGCGCGCCACCUCCCCUUGGCCUGCCUCCUCUAUUUCCUGUAUGGCCCAAUAAGGCCCAUUACUUCUCCCGGUGAAUUCCCGUAACUCCUCAGUACUCCAAAAAAUACCCGAAUUACUCGAAACAUUUCCUAUGUCCAAAUAUAGCCUUCCAAUAUAUCGAUCUUUAUGUCUCGACCAUUUGGAGACUCCUCGUCAUGUCCGUCAUCUCAUCACUUAAGCCUUGCACGCAUUAUAACUAAUAAGUUAGUUAUGAGAUGACGUAUUACAGAACGAGUAAAGAGACUUGCCGGUAACGAGAUUGAACUAGGUAUUGGAUACCGAUGAUCAAAUCUCGGGCAAGUAACAUACCGAUGACAAAGGGAACAAUGUAUGUUGUUAUGCGGUUUGACCGAUAAAGAUCUUCGUAGAAUAUGUAGGAACCAAUAUGGGCAUCCAGGUCCCGCUAUUGGUUAUUGACCGAGAAUGGUUUUAGGUCAUGUCUACAUAGUUCUCGAACCCGUAGGGUCCGCACGCAUAACGUUUCGAUGACAGUUUUAUUAUGAGUUUACAAGUUUUGAUGUACCAAAGUUUGUUCGGAGUCCCGGAUGUGAUCACGGACAUGACGAGGAGUCUCGGAAUGGUCGAGACAUAAAGAUUGAUAUAUUGGAAGCCUAUGUUUGGACAUCGGAAUGGUUCCGGGUGAAAUCGGCAUUUUACUGGAGUACCGGGAGGUUACCGGAACCCCCCGGGGGGUUAAUGGGCCUACAUGGGCCACGAGGGAGAAGAGAGAAGGAGCCAGGAGGGGGCCGCGUUCCCCUCCCCCUCCUAGUCCGAAUAGGACAAGGGAAGGGGGGCGGCGCCCACCCUUUCCUUCCCCUCUUCCUCCUCUUCCCCCCUUCUCCUAUUCCAACUAGGAAAGAAGGGAGUCCUACUCCCGGUGGGAGUAGGACUCCCCCCUUGGCGCGCCCUCCUUGGUCGGCCGCCUCCUCCCCCUGGAUCCUUUAUAUACGGGGGCGGGGGCACCCUAGACACACAAGUUGAUCUACAGAUCGUUCCUUAGCCGUGUGCGGUGCCCCCCUCCACCAUAUUCCACCUCGGUCAUAUUGCCGCGAAGCUUAGGCGAAGCCCUGCGCCGGUAGAACAUCAUCAUCGUCACCACGCCGUCGUGCUGACGGAACUCAUGCCCGAAGCUUCGCUGGAUCGGAGCCCGGGGAUCGUCAUCGAGCUGAACGUGUGCUGAACUCGGAGGUGCCGUACGUUCGGUGCUUGGAUAGGUCGGAUCGUGAAGACGUACGACUACAUCAACCGCGUUGUGCUAACGCUUCCGCUUACGGUCUACGAGGGUACGUGGACGAACACUCUCCCCUCUCGUUGCUAUAUCAUCACCAUGAUCUUGCGUGUGCGUAGGAAAUUUUUUGAAAUUACUACGUUCCCCAACAGUGGCAUCCGAGCCUGGUUUUAUGCGUUGAUGUUAAAUGCACGAGUAGAACACAAGUGAGUUGUGGGCGAUAUAAGUCAUACUGCUUACCAGCAUGUCAUACUUUGGUUCGGCGGCAUUGUGAGAUGAAGCGGCCCGGACCGACAUUACGCGUACGCUUACGCGAGACUGGUUUCACCACUACGAGCACUCGUUGCUUAAAGGUGACCGGCGGGUGUUUGUCUCUCUGACUUUAGCUGAAUCGAGUGUGGCUACGCCCGGUCCUUGCGAAGGUUAAAACAGCACCAACUCGACGAACUAUCGUUGUGGUUUUUAUGCGUAGGUAAGAACGGUUCUUGCUAAGCCUGUAGCAGCCACGUAAAAUUUGCAACAACAAAGUAGAGGACGUCUAACUUGUUUUUGCAGGGAAUGUUGUGAUGUGAUAUGGUCAAGACGUGAUGCUAUAUUUUAUUGUAUGAGAUGAUCAUGUUUUGUAACCGAAGUUAUCGGCAACUGGCAGGAGCCAUAUGGUUGUCGCUUUAUUGUAUGAAAUGCAAACGCCCUGUAAUUGCUUUACUUUAUCACUAAGCGGUAGCGAUAGUCAUAGAAGCAAUAGAUGGCGUAACGACAACGAUGCUACGAUGGAGAUCAAGGUGUCACACCGGUGACGAUGGUGAUCACGACGGUGCUUCGAAGAUGGAGAUCACAAGCACAAGAUGAUGAUGGCCAUGUCAUAUCACUUAUAUUGAUUGCAUGUGAUGUUUAUCCUUUAUGCAUCUUAUCUUGCUUUGAUUGACGGUAGCAUUUUAAGAUGAUCUCUCACUAAUUAUCAAGAAGUGUUCUCCCUGAGUAUGCACCGUUGCGAAAGUUCUUCGUGCUGAGACACCACAUGAUGAUCGAGUGUGAUAGGCUCUAUGUUCAAAUACAACGGGUGCAAAACAGUUGCACACGCGGAAUACUCGGGUUAAACUUGACGAGCCUAGCAUAUAUAGAUAUGGCCUCGGAACACGGAGACCGAAAGGUCGAGCGUGAAUCAUAUAGUAGAUAUGAUCAACAUAAUGAUGUUCACCAUUGAAACUACUCCAUCUCACGUGAUGAUCGGACAUGGUUUAGUUGAUGUGGAUCACGUAAUCACUUAGAAGAUUAGAGGGAUGUCUAUCUAAGUGGGAGUUCUUAAGUAAUAUGAUUAAUUGAACUUAAAUUUAUCAUGAACUUAGUACCUGAUAGUAUUUUGCUUGUCUAUGUUUGUUUGUAGAUAGAUGGCUCGUGCUGUUGUUCCGUUAAAUUUUAAUGCAUUCCUUGAGAAAGCAAAGUUGAAAGAUGAUGGUAGCAAUUACACGGACUGGGUCCGUAACCUGAGGAUUAUCCUCAUUGCUGCACAGAAAAGUUACGUCCUGGAAGCACCGCUGGGUGCCAGGCCUGCUGCUGAUGCAACUGACGACGUUAAGAAUGUCUGGCAGAGCAAAGAUGAUGACUACUCUAUAGUUCAGUGUGCCAUGCUUUACAGCUUAGAACCAGGUCUUCAACGACGUUUUGAACGUCAUGGAGCAUAUGAGAUGUUCCAGGAGUUGAAGUUAAUAUUUCAAGUAAAUGCCCGGAUUGAGAGAUAUGAAGUCUCCAAUAAGUUCUACAGCUGCAAGAUGGAGGAGAAUAGUUCUGUCAGUGAACACAUACUCAAAAUGUCUGGGUAUAAUAAUCACUUGAUUCAACUCGGAGUUAAUCUUCCUGAUGAUAGUGUCAUUGACAGAAUUCUCCAAUCACUACCACCAAGCUACAAGAGCUUCGUGAUGAAUUAUAAUAUGCAAGGGAUGAACAAAACUAUUCCCGAGCUCUUCGCAAUGCUAAAAGCUGCGGAGGUAGAAAUAAAAAAGGAGCAUCAAGUGUUGAUGGUUAACAAGACCACCAGUUUCAAUAAAAAGGGCAAAGGGAAGAAGAAGGGGAACUUCAAAAAGAAUGGCAAGCAAGUUGCUGCUCAAGAGAAGAAACCCAAGUCUGGACCUAAGCCUGAAACUGAGUGCUUCUACUGCAAGCAGACUGGACACUGGAAGCGGAAUUGCCCCAAGUAUUUGGCGGAUAAGAAGGAUGGCAAAGUAAACAAAGGUAUAUGUGAUAUACAUGUUAUUGAUGUGUACCUUACUAAUGCUCGCAGUAGCACCUGGAUAUUUGAUACUGGUUCUGUUGCUAAUAUUUGCAACUCGAAACAGGGACUACGAAUUAAGCGAAGAUUAGCUAAGGACGAGGUGACGAUGCGCGUGGGAAAUGGUUCCAAAGUCGAUGUGAUCGCGGUCGGCAUGCUACCUCUACAUCUACCAUCAGGAUUAGUUUUAGACCUAAAUAAUUGUUAUUUGGUGCCAGCGUUGAGCAUGAACAUUAUAUCUGGAUCUUGUUUGAUGCGAGACGGUUAUUCAUUUAAAUCAGAGAAUAAUGGUUGUUCUAUUUAUAUGAGUAAUAUCUUUUAUGGUCAUGCACCCUUGAAGAAUGGUCUAUUUUUAUUAAAUCUCGAUAGUAGUGAUACACAUAUUCAUAGUGUUGAAACCAAAAGAUGCAGAGUUGAUAACGAUAGUGCAACUUAUUUGUGGCACUGCCGUUUAGGUCAUAUCGGUGUAAAGCGCAUGAAGAAACUCCAUACUGAUGGGCUUUUGGAAUCACUUGAUUAUGAAUCACUUGGUACUUGCGAACCAUGCCUCAUGGGCAAGAUGACUAAAACGCCGUUCUCCAGAACUAUGGAGCGAGCAACUGAUUUGUUGGAGAUCAUACAUACUGAUGUUUGUGGUCCAAUGAAUGUUGAGGCUCACGGCGGGUAUCGUUAUUUUCUCACCUUCACAGAUGAUUUGAGCAGAUAUGGGUAUAUCUACUUAAUGAAACACAAGUCUGAAACAUUUGAAAAGUUCAAAGAAUUUCAGAGUGAAGUGGAAAAUCAUCGUAACAAGAAAAUAAAGUUUCUACAAUCUGAUCGUGGAGGAGAAUAUUUGAGUUACGAGUUUGGUCUACACUUGAAACAAUACGGAAUAGUUUCGCAACUCACGCCACCCGGAACACCACAACGAAAUGGUGUGUCCGAACGUCGUAAUCGUACUUUACUAGAUAUGGUGCGAUCUAUGAUGUCUCUUACAGAUUUACCGCUAUCGUUUUUGGGUUAUGCUUUAGAGACGACCACAUUCACGUUAAAUAGGGCACCAUCAAAAUCCGUUGAGACGACACCUUAUGAAUUGUGGUUUGGCAAGAAACCAAAGUUGUCGUUUCUUAAAGUUUGGGGCUGCGAUGCUUAUGUAAAGAAACUUCAACCAGAUAAGCUCGAACCCAAAUCGGAGAAAUGUGUCUUCAUAGGAUACCCAAAGGAGACUAUUGGGUACACCUUCUAUCACAUAUCUGAGGGCAAGAUUUUCGUUGCUAAAUUCGGAUCCUUUCUAGAGAAGGAGUUUCUCUCGAAAGAAGUGAGUGGGAGGAAAGUAGAACUUGAUGAGAUAACUGUAUCUACUCCCUUGUUGGAAAGUAGUUCGUCACAAGAACCAGUUCCUGUGACAACUACACCAACUAGUGAGGAAGCUAAUGAUAUUGAUCAUGAAACUUCAGAUCAAGUUUCUACUGAACCUCGCAGGUCUACCAGAAUAAGAUCCGCACCAGAGUGGUACGGUAAUCCUAUUCUGGAAGUCAUGUUACUUGACCAUGAUGAACCUACGAACUAUGAGGAAGCGAUGAUGAGCCCAGAUUCCGCAAAAUGGCUAGAGGCCAUGAAAUCUGAGAUGGGAUCCAUGUACGAAAACAAAGUAUGGACUUUGGUUGACUUGCCCGAUGAUCGGCAAGCCAUUGAGAAUAAAUGGAUUUUUAAGAAGAAGACUGACGCUGAUGGUAAUAUAACUGUCUACAAAGCUCGACUUGUUGCGAAAGGUUUUCGACAAGUUCAAGGGGUUGACUACGAUGAGACUUUCUCACCCGUAGCGAUGCUUAAAUCUGUCCGAAUCAUGUUAGCUAUUGCUGCAUUUCACGAUUAUGAAAUUUGGCAAAUGGAUGUCAAAACUGCAUUCUUGAAUGGAUUUCUGGAAGAAGAGUUGUAUAUGAUGCAACCAGAAGGUUUUGUUGAUCCAAAAGGUGCUAACAAAGUGUGCAAACUCCAGCGAUCUAUUUAUGGGCUGGUGCAAGCAUCUCGGAGUUGGAAUAAACGUUUUGAUAGUGUGAUCAAAGCAUAUGGUUUUAUACAGACUUUUGGAGAAGCCUGUAUUUACAAGAAAGUGAGUGGGAGCUCUGUAGCAUUUCUGAUUUUAUAUGUAGAUGACAUAUUAUUAAUUGGAAAUGAUAUAGAAUUUCUGGAUAGCAUAAAGGGAUACUUGAAUAAAAGUUUUUCAAUGAAAGACCUCGGUGAAGCUGCUUACAUAUUAGGCAUCAAGAUCUAUAGAGAUAGAUCAAGACGCUUAAUAGGACUUUCACAAAGCACAUACCUUGACAAAAUUUUGAAAAAGUUCAAAAUGGAUCAGGCAAAGAAAGGUUUCUUGCCUGUGCUACAAGGUGUUAAGUUGAGUCAAACUCAAUGCCCGACCACAGCAGAAGAUAGAGAGAAAAUGAAAGAUGUUCCGUAUGCUUCAGCCAUAGGCUCUAUCAUGUAUGCAAUGCUGUGUACCAGACCUGACAUAUGCUUAGCAAUAAGCUUGGCAGGAAGGUACCAAAGUAAUCCAGGAGUGGAUCACUGGACAACGGUCAAGAACAUCCUGAAAUACCUGAAAAGGACUAAGGAUAUGUUUCUCGUAUAUGGAGGUGACAAAGAGCUAGUCGUAAAAGGUUACGUCGAUGCAAGCUUUGACACUGAUCCGGACGAUUCUAAAUCGCAAACCGGAUACGUGUUUAUAUUAAACGGUGGAGCUGUAAGUUGGUGCAGUUCUAAACAAAGCGUCGCGGCUGGAUCUACAUGUGAAGCGGAGUACAUAGCUGCUUCUGAAGCAGCAAAUGAAGGAGUCUGGAUGAAGGAGUUCAUUACCGAUCUAGGUGUCAUACCUAGUGCAUCGGGACCAAUGAAGAUCUUCUGUGACAAUACUGGUGCAAUUGCUUUGGCAAAGGAAUCCAGAUUUCACAAGAGGACCAAGCACAUCAAGAGACGCUUCAAUUCCAUUCGGGACCAAGUCCAAGUGGGAAACAUAGAGAUUUGCAAAAUACAUACGGAUCUGAAUGUUGCAGAUCCGUUGACUAAGCCUCUCUCAUGAGCAAAACAUGAUCAACACCAAGACUCCAUGGGUGUUAGAAUCAUUACUAUGUAAUCUAGAUUAUUGACUCUAGUGCAAGUGGGAGACUGGAGGAAAUAUGCCCUAGAGGCAAUAAUAAAGUUAUUAUUUAUUUCCUCAUAUCAUGAUAAAUGUUUAUUAUUCAUGCUAGAAUUGUAUUAACCGGAAACAUGAUACAUGUGUGAAUACAUAGACAAACAUAUAGUCACUAGUAUGCCUCUACUUGACUAGCUCAUUAAUCAAAGAUGGUUAUGUUUCCUAACCAUAGACAUGUGUUGUCAUUUGAUUAAUGGGAUCACAUCAUUAGAAGAAUGAUGUGAUUGACAUGACCCAUCCCGUUAGCUUAGCACUUGAUCGUUUAGUAUUCUGCUAUUGCUUUCUUCAUGACUUAUACAUGUUCCUGCAACUAUGAGAAAUAUGCAACUCCCGUUUACCGGAAGAACACUUUAGGUACUACCAAACGUCACAACGUAACUGGGUGAUUAUAAAGGAGUACUACAGGUGUCUCCGAAGGUACAUGUUGAGUUGGCGUAUUUCGAGAUUAGGUUUUGUCACUCCGAUUGUCAGAGAGGUAACUCUGGGCCCUCUCGGUAAUACUCAUCACUUAAGCCUUGCAAGCAUUAUAACUAAUAAGUUAGUUAUGAGAUGACGUAUUACAAAACGAGUAAAGAGACUUGCCGGUAACGAGAUUGAACUAGGUAUUGGAUACCGACGAUCAAAUCUCGGGCAAGUAACAUACCGAUGACAAAGGGAACAACGUAUGUUGUUAUACGGUUUGACCGAUAAAGAUCUUCGUAGAAUAUGUAGGAACCAAUAUGGGCAUCCAGGUCCCGCUAUUGGUUAUUGACCGAGAAUGGUUUUAGGUCAUGUCUACAUAGUUCUCGAACCCGUAGGGUCCGCACGCUUAAUGUUUCGAUGACAGUUUUAUUAUGAGUUUACAAGUUUUGAUGUACCAAAGUUUGUUCGGAGUCCCCGAUGUGAUCACGGACAUGACGAGGAGUCUCGGAAUGGUCGAGACAUAAAGAUUGAUAUAUUGGAAGCCUAUGUUUGGACAUCGGAAUGGUUCCGGGUGAAAUCGGCAUUUUACCGGAGUACCGGGAGGUUACCGGAACCCCCCGGGGGGUUAAUGGGCCUACAUGGGCCACGAGGGAGAAGAGAGAAGGAGCCAGGAGGGGGCCGCGCGCCCCUCCCCCUCCUAGUCCGAAUAGGACAAGGGAAGGGGGGCGGCGCCCCCCUUUCCUUCCCCUCUUCCUCCUCUUCCCCCCUUCUCCUAUUCCAACUAGGAAAGAAGGGAGUCCUACUCCCGGUGGGAGUAGGACUCCCCCCUUGGCGCGCCCUCCUUGGACGGCCACCUCCUCCCCCCUGGCUCCUUUAUAUACGGGGGCGGGGGGCACCCUAGACACACAAGUUGAUCUACGGAUCGUUCCUUAGCCGUGUGCGGUGCCCCCCUCCACCAUAUUCCACCUCGGUCAUAUCGUCGCGAAGCUUAGGCGAAGCCCUGCGCCGGUAGAACAUCAUCAUCGUCACCACGCCGUCGUGCUGACAGAACUCAUCCCCGAAGCUUUGCUGGAUCAGAGCCCGGGGAUCGUCAUCGAGCUGAACGUGUGCUGAACUCGGAGGUGCCGUACGUUCGGUGCUUGGAUCGGUCGGAUCGUGAAGACGUACGACUACAUCAACCGCGUUGUGCUAACGCUUCCCCUUACGGUCUACGAGGGUACGUGGACGAACACUCUCCCCUCUCGUUGCUAUAUCAUCACCAUGAUCUUGCGUGUGCGUAGGAAUUUUUUUGAAAUUACUACGUUCCCCAAUACUUUAUCGGUCAAACUGCAUAACAACAUACGUUGUUCCUUUGUCAUCGAUAUGUUACUGCCCGAGAUUCGAUCAUCGAUAUCAUCAUACCUAGUUCAAUCUUGUUACCGGCAAGUCUCUUUAAUCGUUCCGUAAUACUCAUCCCGCAACUAACUCAUUAGUCACCAUGCUUGAAAGGCUUAUAGUGAUGAGUAUUACCGAGAGGGCCCAGAGAUACCUCUCCGAAACACGGAGUGACAAAUCCUAAUCUCGAUCUAUGCCAAUCCAACAAACACCUUUGGAGACACCUGUAGAGCACCUUUAUAAUCACCCAUUUACGUUGUGACGUUUGGUAGCACACAAAGUGUUCCUCCGGUAUUCGGGAGUUGCAUAAUCUCAUAGUCUGAGGAAUAUGUAUAAGUCACGAAGAGAGCAGUAGCAAUGAAACUGUAACGAUCAUAAUGCUAAGCUAAUGGAUGGGUCUUGUCCAUCACAUCAUUCUCCUAAUGAUGUGAUCCCGUUCAUCAAAUGACAACACAUGUCUAUGGUUAGAAAACAUAACCAUCUUUGAUUAACGAGCUAGUCAAGUAGAGUCAUACUAGGGACACUAUGUUUUGUCUAUGUAUUCACACAUGUACUAAGUUUCCGGUUAAUACAAUUCUAACAUGAAUAAUAAACAUUUAUCAUGAAAUAAGGAAAUAAAUAAUAACUUUAUUAUUGCCUCUAGGGCAUAUUUCCUUCACGCUAUUGGUUAAGGUUGCACCCUAAAUUAAACUUAAAAAUGGUUAAGAGGUAAAAAUAACAUCAAAUUCAGAUUCUACACAUUUUUCUAACCAAAUAACAUCAUGAGUUAUUUUUUAAUUUGAUAUGCGAAAAUCUGAUUUAAACAUGGGAUGCGGUUUGCUUAACAGAAACAUUAGGGGGGAUUGCAAAAGGGAAAAUCUGACCUGGACUGCGGGUUGACUAACUGAAAUAUCAAAGGGUUUAUGCAAAAUUGAAAAAUCUGACCUAAAACUAGACCGCGAGAUGACUUUAAGAAAAGGAAAGGGCCUUUAUGCAAAACAAACGAUGAAGGGAAUGACACAAUCCUUUCUAUAGUUAUGGUAUUUUACAAUUACAAUAUCACAUGUUGCGGGGUUGUCAACAAGCCAGUGGUUAAGCUCGGUUACACAAUAAUAUAGUGUCCACAAAUUACUUGUGGUGGUCUAGCCUUGUUUUGGGAUGAGUCUUUGUACGUCGAUAUUCGUGAUUGCAAUAGAAGAUGGAUUGAUGUGUAUGUCCGGUUACCUGCUGAUGAUCAACUAUGGAGAAUCACCUUUGUGUAUGGGGAACCACGGGUGGAAAAUAGACACCUAAUGUGGGAAGGGCUAAAAAGAUUGAAAGCUCGGGAUGAUCUACCUUGGCUCUUGGUUGGGGACUUCAAUGAAGUUAUGUGGGACUAUGAGCAUUUACCGGAUACACCAAGGUCACCUGGGCAAAUGAUAGCUUUCCGGGACGUGCUUGAGGCUUGCAAUCUUUCAGAUCUUGGCUUCUCUGGUUACCCGUUUACUUAUGAUAAUAAGCGCAGAGGGCGGGCUAAUGUGCAAGUGAGGUUGGAUCGUGCAGUGGCAGACAACGUUUGGAGGAAUAAAUUUCCUGAGGCAUCAGUGAAGCACCUGAUCUCCUCAUGUUCGGAUCACCUCCCUCUCCUUGUGAGGUGCAUACCUGAAAAUGGUGGCAGGGCGAGGUGUGUUCGGCGUUACGAAGUAAUGUGGGAGCGAGAGGCUGCUCUUGAGGAAGUGGUGGCUGAAGCAUGGCGUGAUGGGGGAGCCAAACAUGGGCUGCAUGACAUAAAAGUUUCUCUCGACAAGAUGAUGGAAAAGCUCCACUCUUGGAGUAGGAAGACUUUUGGGAACGUGAUUAAGGAGAUUGAAAAGUCGAGGUGCAGAUUAGAGGAGCUCAUGAACAUGAACGCAGAUCGUAAAGAAAUUCGGAAAGAGUCGGAUCACUUGGACGAAUUGUUGUACAGAGAAGAGAUGCUAUGGCGCCAACGAUCCCGUAUUGAUUGGCUCAAGGAGGGGGAUCGUAACACGCAGUUUUUCCACCGGCGAGCUAUAUGGAGAGCAAGAAAAAAUAAAAUUAAAGCCCUGGUGGAUAGUGCAGGGGUGAAGCACACUAACCAGUACGUGAUGGAAGGUAUGGCAUUGGACUUUUUUAAAGAUCUUUUUACUGCUGAUGCCUCUCUCAAUGCAGACCGGGUGGUCUCCUUAUUUGAGCGAAAGAUUAUGGCAGAUAUGAAUGACCAGCUGUGUGCUCCAUUUACUGAUAAGGAAAUUAGCGACGCGAUGUUUCAGAUUGGUCCUCUCAAGGCCCCAGGACCCGACGGCUUCCCGGCAAGAUUUUUUCAGAAACAUUGGGCUAUUGUCAAGGAAGAUAUUAUCUCAGCAGUGCAGUUGUUUUUUGCGUCAGGACAAAUGCCAGAGGGAGUCAACUUGACUACCAUCGUAUUGAUUCCCAAGAUUGAUGUGCCGGUCAAGUUAUCAGAUUUCCGUCCUAUCAGCCUUUGCAACGUUAUAUAUAAGGUGAUUUCUAAAUGUUUAGUCAACCGACUAAGACCCAUUCUGGGGGACAUUAUUUCUCCGGAGCAAAGUGCAUUUGUACGAAGGCUUAUUACUGAUAAUGCCUUUAUGGCAUUUGAGUGCACCCACUUCAUCCGACAUGAGAAAAACCCGGACAAAAGCUAUUGUGCAUAUAAGCUUGAUCUUUCUAAGGCUUACGAUAGAGUGGAUUGGGUAUUCCUGGAGCGAGUGAUGCAACAGUUGGGCUUUGAUCAUUGAUGGGUGAGAUGGAUAAUGGCAUGUGUCACCUCGGUGAGAUACACGAUAAAAAUUAAUGGAGCCCGCUCAGAUUCAUUCGCACCGUCGCGAGGGCUACAGCAGGGAGAUCCUCUUUAACCAUUCCUCUUUCUCUUUGUUGCGGACGGACUAGCGGCCUUGCUGAAGAAGGAGGUGCAAGAGACACAUAUUUCGCCACUGAAAGUGUGUCCUAGGGCACCCGGGAUUUCACACCUAUUGUUUGCCGAUGAUACACUUUUGUUCUUCCGUGCAACAGAAGGUGAGGCGCAGCGCAUCAAGGGAGUACUGGAUGUUUAUGCUAAUGCUACCGGACAAUUAAUUAAUCCUCAAAAAUGCUCCAUCCUUUUUGGUGAACAUUCCAGUCAAGGUGACAAGGAUAAUGUGGUUCGUGUACUGGAAGUGCAGAAUAUUAGCUUCGAAGAGAAAUAUCUCGGACUUCCCACUCCUAAUGGGCGUAUGAGUAAGGGUCGUUUCCAGAACAUCCAGGAAAAGUUUACAAAGAGGUUCAUCAUGUGGUGUGACUCGAUGGCACAAAGCGGGAGAGAGGUGCUAAUAAAGUCCAUUGCCCAAGCACUACCUACAUAUCUAAUGAGCGUCUUCAGGUUGCCUGCGUCAACUUGUGAUGAUCUCACCCGCAUGGUGCGUAACUUCUGGUGGGGUGCUGAAAAAGGGCGGCGGAAAACGCAUUGGCGUGCAUGGGAGAAGCUGAUCCGACCGAAGUCACAUGGAGGCAUGGGGUUCCGUGAGUUCCGCUUGUUCAACCAAGCUUUGCUGGCACGCCAAGCUUGGCGAAUCCUCUCUAACCCAGACAGUCUGUGCGCACAAGUGAUGAAAGCUAAAUAUUUUCCAUCUGGUCUCCUUGUGGACACUGUUUUCCCGUCCAACUCUUCACCAACUUGGCAAGCAGUGGCGCAUGGGCUGGAGCUUCUGAAGCAUGGUAUUUUAUGGCGGGUAGGCAAUGGGCAAUCCAUUCGUAUAUGGAGAGAUCGUUGGAUCCCGAACGGUGGCUCUGGCAAGCCUAUCACCGUGCAGGGGCGAUGCCGUCUGAGAAGAGUUUCCGAGCUGCUGGAUGAACGUGGUGCAUGGCGUAUGGACCUUUUACAACAAUAUUUCAAUCCGGUAGAUGUCGAGUAGAUUGUUAAAAUUCGGACUUCUCCACGGCUCGAAGAGGAUGUCCUUGCUUGGGAACCAGAGCGUAAUGGUAUCUUCACGGUUCGGAGCGCGUACCGGCUUGCACUUGAUGAACGUCUUCGUCCAUCUUCAGUCGCGGCGAGCAGGGCACCUGACGGGCGACGAGCCGUCUGGGCUUUUUUAUGGAGGUGCCCUGCUCCUCCUAAGGUGCGUGUGUUCGCUUGGCGGGUGGCGACGAACUGUCUGGCCACAUGGACUAAUAAACAUGCUCGUAGCCUUGAAGUAUCUAACUUGUGUCCUGUUUGUGCUACCGAACCGGAGGACACUUUUCAUGCUCUCUACAGAUGUCCUCAUGCGAUCGCCUUGUGGCAAGCUAUGGCGCGGCAAUGGAAUAUUCCGGACAUCCGUCAAGUCAUGCACACUGGGCCAGAGUGGCUUUUUCAUGUGCUCGCGGACUUGUCACCAGAGGAGCGGAUGUAUACGCUCAUGACGAUUUGGCGUUGCUAGCAUGUGAGGAAUGAGAUCGUCCACGACAAACGACCACCACCGGUCGAAGCCUCGACCAGAUUCCUAUCCAGCUAUAUCAACUCAUUGCUAGCCAUCCAGGCGUACCCUCAUGGAGAUCACAUCAAAGGAAAAAUGGUGGCUGCACCUUUGUAUAGCAGGAAAUUGUUAUCACAUGUAGAGCGUGAGAAGCCAUCAUCACUUGGAUGGGAGGCACCGCCAGCCGGCUGGGCUGCGCUCAAUAUCGACGGGUCCUUUUCUGCCAAGGACGGAACUGCAGGAGCUGGCAUGGUCCUCCGGGAUGAACAUGGAGAUAUUAUUUUUUCGUCUUGCCGUGAGUUAAGGCAGUGUGCAUCACCACUAGAAUCUGAACUUGCUGCAUGUUCAGAAGGCAUCUCCCUGACUACCCAGUGGUCUCAGCUGCCUUUUGUGAUUCAAACGGACUGCGCAGAAGUGGUAAAACUAAUUGAAGGAGGUACUGGCGACCGGUCGGAGCAUAUGAUGUUGAUCCGCGAGAUUACUUCGCGUCUUCGGGAACAUGGUGAAUUCUUAGUUAAGCUUGUGAGGCGUGAACAAAACGUGGUUAGUCAUUUUUUAGCGAACUUUGGUCGAAUAAAGAAGCGCACUGCGGUGUGGCUUCACUCUGGGCCGGACGAGGUUCCGGACCUUUGUAAUGCAGACAUGGCUGCCACUUAAUUAAUGAAUUCUUUUUUCCCCGCAAAAAGAAAGUGUCCACAAAUUACUUGGUACAUGGAUGUGAUUUUUUCAUUAUAGGCUUUGCUCAUACUUUCAUACCGAACUUAUAUAAUUAAAUUGUAUCUAACUAAUAGUUAAUGAAAUAUAAUGAUUUCCAUGAAAAAUAAAGGUCUACAUUAGCAUUGGGCUAUUCGCGAUGUUAGGUGUUUGAAUUGUUAAUAGCAAUGAAUUUUGAGUUCGAUAGUACAAUGUAGUUAGGUUGUUAAUGUUUUGGAAUAAAAUAAAAAUGUUCCAAUUAAAUUUUAUAAUUCGCAAUGUAUCAAUUAAAAGGGAAACCUGGUCAAAUUUUGUGAGGGGGGGGGGUGCUAGAAAUAAGUAAAAAUGAUUAGUGUAAACACGUGACAAAUAACACGUAUUGUCAAACCCGGUCCUUCAACAAAGUUGGGCCGACGGGUGGCAGCAUGAGUGUGGGAUCGUCUCUCUACUCGGCUCCAACCUGCUCUGCACUCGCCAUGGAGGUCUUUUGCGAGCUUAAGUGGGUCAUAAAAAGAAACGAAAGUGACGGAGAGAAGGUAUAAUGAAGAGCAACCAACCGGAUAAAACAAGGGUACAAAGUUGAAGAUAAGAAUAAUCUUUGACUUAACAAGAAUAUUGCUAAAUACCAUACUAGCCGCUUGUACAAAUGACGAGAUCGAUGUUGUUAAGAUUUAUUUUUAUAUGAAUUUAAGCACACAAAAACAAUUUUUAUACACUAAAUUUGUAUAGUGUAUAUUUAAUUGUUUAUAAUUAAAAAAUUGAUAUAUGUUUAAUGGAUAAUUCAAACGCGACAUUUUCUAAAAUCUUUUUGUAUUUAAAAAAAAUGUAAACACGGUUUGAAAAAGGUGAAACUUGGUAUGGUGUCAUUAUAUGACCACUUGAAGUUGUGGUUAUAGUUUCAAAGUGUUACACAUAAGUUAUGGUAUACAUUUCCUAUAAACCGAAGGGAUAUCUAGGGUAUCAAGUUUUGAAGUUAAUUUCGAAGAGGGGAGGGUCAAAGUGUCAAGUUAGAGAGAGAGAGAGAGAGAGAGAGAGAGAGAGAGAGAGAGAGAGAGAGAGAGAGAGAGAGAGAGAGAUGGUAUAGCAUCAUAAGGGGAGGACGAGGCGGCAAGGCGGGCAUGGACGGCGGCGCUAGGCGGUUCGGCCGGUGAUCAUUGGCGGUUAAGGAGGAGGCUGUUCGUAGAAAACGCACAUCAGCCAUCCGAUGAAGAUUCAACGGCCAAAAGAAUGAUUUACGCAAAAAAAAACAGAUUGACUUAUAAAUAGUCUUUCUUUUUCUCCUGUUAUGAGCUAGGCCUUGGGUAGAGCUAAUUAAGCCAUACAGAAAGCCCGGCCUGUGAGCUGACAGGCCCGAACGACGACCCACACACGAGGCUCUCUUCGGGGCCGCUCGGCGUCGUGGAGGCAGCCCCCGCCACCAGAUCGGCCGGCCGACGUGGCGCCGACCUCCGCCGCUCACGCCGUCAACGGAGGACCGCGCGCGGCUCUGCUACUACAACUACUACAUUUCAACUCCAGAGACCCUAUCGUCUACAACUAGCUAGCCAAGCUACCCUCCCCUGUUUCGCCAUCUCUUCUCACCAGCACCACCGCGCGCGCGUCUGCUUCCCAUCGCAUGCCACCCCCUGCUCUCUGCGCCUCCUCCGCCGCCCGACCGCGUCUGCUCCUGCCAUCUGACUCGUCUGCGCUCUUCCUCCGUGCAGCCGCUGCUUCUGCCGCCCUCGCGCCGGCGAAGCAGAGGUUAUUGUUCUCGACGACGGUGCCGGCAGGCAUGGCGGCGGCCGCGGGAGCGAAGGCGUCGACGCAGCCGACGACGGGCGGGGACGUGUCAAAGGUGACAUUGGAGUGACAUUGGAGUAUCUAGGUGACAUUAGGGUUUUGGUUGAUUUGUGUCUUAAGGUGUUAUUCUUGUACGAACUCUAUGAUAGAUCGAACGGAAAGAAUAGCUUCGUGUUAUUUUACUACGGACUCUUGAAUAAAUAGAUCAGAAAGAAUAACUUUGAGGUGAUUUCGUACCCUACAAUAAUCUCUUCGUUUGUUCUCCGCUAUUAGUGCUUUGGAGUGACUCUUUGUUGCAUGUUGAGGGAUAGUUAUAUGAUCCAGUUAUGUUAUUAUUGUUGAGAGAACUUGCACUAGUGAAAGUAUGAACCCUAGGCCUUGUUUCCUAGCAUUGCAAUACCGUUUACGCUCACUUUUAUCAUUAGUUACCUUGCUGUUUUUAUAAUUUCAGAUUACAAAUACCCAUAUCUAUCAUCCAUAUUGCACUUGUAUCACCAUCUCUUCGCCGAACUAGUGCACCUAUACAAUUUACCAUUGUAUUGGGUGUGCAAGAGACUUUUUGUUAUUUGGUUGCAGGGUUGUUUGAGAGAGACCAUCUUCAUCCUACGCCUCCCACGGGUUGAUAAACCUUAGGUCAUCCACUUGAGGUAAAUUUGCUACUGUCCUACAAACCUCUGCACUUGGAGGCCCAACAACAUCUACAAGAAGAAGGUUGUGUAGUAGACAUCAGUAGACAGUUCUAGCACUUCAUAUAAUGUUGUUCUUUGCAUGCUAAUUAUACUUGGUUUGCUGCUAUUGAUGUGUUCCUUAUUGGAACUAAUCUGCAUGCUUCUGAAGAAAUGCAUGUGCAUGUUUAUUCUGCUCCUGUACAUACUAAUUAGAGGAAUUAAAUUAAUGACAAAUUUUAUAUUGCCUGUAACAGAAUGGGACUUAAUGGUGGGAGUUUGCUAGGGGAUUUAGACGUGGAAAAUAGACUUUUAAUCCCAACCCCUUGUUUGGUGCCUCGUGAGAAUUAUACUAGUGAGAAUGGAGAAGGUGUGUGGACUUGGCUUUGCACUUCCAUGUAACUUGAUUUUUAUUUAAGAUCUGGAUCCUAGGCCAGGCAAAAAGGGCGACCACCCGAGCCUCAGGGGAGUGGGGCCAUAUACUACUAUCGUUAUAUCUAAAAGAUUACUGUAGUAUAAACUUAAAAAAUUAAAGUCCAAAAUUUGCAGGAGCAAGUCCACACAACGAACCAAUAAUGUUACCAUAUUGGAACAACCAUAUCUGGUAGGAGACAAUAAAUUUAGUGAGCCUACCAUUGUCUCUCACAUAGACGUGCGACAAGUUGUACUAAAAUUUAUGUUAACCAGAUUUCUGUGUUCAAUUUUGUGCAAAACCUUUUAAUGUUUUAAAAUGAGCGGGAGGGCCUAUAUACAUUACAAGAAAUCAGGCAUCCAGAUAAGACUAAAAAAUAAAAUAAAAAUGUAUGCAAUUGAAUCGGGAACAUGUUAUGCUCGCCGGUAAUCGAUAGUAUUUCAAUUUCAUGUAAAGAGCAUGCACAUAUUGUGAACUUAUUGCUGAACAUAACUUGUAUCACAUUUACAAACAAUUCAAUUUAUACUCUAGAAUAUUCUAUACAUUUGUUUACCUAACAAUACAUUAGAAACCAUUAGUAAGAUAUUACACUUUAGAUCGCUAUCAAGAUAGUUACUGAUACAAUAUACACGGAGACCUACGCAUAAAAAUAUACAUAUGCAUCAUAUAAUUUAUGCAUUUGUCAAAAAGUAUUGAAAGGUUAAUUUUAUUGAAUCACACAAUUUAAAUUUAGCUGAAAUGAAGCAUUAAGUAAAAUACAUUAGAGCUAAUAACAGAGAACACUACAAUUAAUAUUUAACAACAUUGUUAUGUGGUUCCACACACAAAAACACUAUUAUAUGCUCAACUAUGUGAACUAGGUGAUAUAAAUUAUACUCGCCAACACUGUAAUGCAAUAAAAAUACACUAAGUACAAAUGUUUGGUAUAAAUUUUUAUUUAAUUUAAUUCGCUCCGGGACUCAAGCAUGUUUGGACCGGCCCCAUUUGGAUGGAUCUGAAGAGAAAAUCUACAUGAAUCAUAAUUUGUGGGCACUAAGAUGGAAGCAAAAGAACAAGUUAGCACAUUAUAUGAUACAAUUUACGUGAAAUUCGAGAAACUGAGACUGACAGAGAGAAAAUAAGGAGCUUCGGGAACCCACCCGCUCCCAGAAAUCUAAGAAUCUGUGGAGUACCUGCAUGCGCGCUCCGCGCUUUUUAGUUGAAACUCCACCCGCUCCCGGAGUGGCCGAACGGGCCCUAAGUUUGCAUGAGGUCUGUUCGUAACUCUCAUCACAUAUGCAAGUGAAAACUUGUUCUGAAGCAUGAUUUUCCUCCAAAAAGAAAAAUCUGAAAAGAACUUAUUACCUCUGAUUUUUGAAGAGAACCAUCACUCAAGCUCUUAGUACUAAAUUUGGUUGUCUUGAUACUACCUAUUGAUAGAAUUACUUGGAAUAAUAAAUGUUUGAAGUUGUGUGAAUGAAAUGUUUGAGUACCAUGUUUUCUUCUCUUCCAAAACUCUUGUUCACAUUUGUUCUUAUAAGAAUAUCCAUUCUAUUGAGAGGAUAAGAACUCUUUUGCUAGCCUAGCACUUGGUUACAAUGAAAAAUUUUGGUUUGAAAAAUUAUAACUAGUGAUAGGAGGCUAUACGUGGCUAGGCAACGAGCUUAAGUGCAGCUAUUCAAAUGCAAAUAUUGUCUUAACUGAAUUUGCAUAGUGGGUGAGAAUUGAUAUAUCAUAUCUUUGCGAGCUGAUAAAACUUCUUUCUGAUCAUGUCAAACUCCCUUCAUUCUCUUGAUUUCUAAGUUUCUUGAGGGCGAGCAAGUUUUAAGCUUGAGGGAGUUGAUGGAUAGAGAAUUUGUGAUUAUUUGCAAGUGAUUUUUACUUGGUUUUCACCGGAUUCAUGUUGCUUCUCGUUUAUUUCUAACAUUAACCCUUCAAAUGAGAAGGAACUCUGUUUUUCCGUUGUUUGGAAGAAAAUAUAAUGCAUGGAAGGAAACCAAGGAGAAUUAUUGCAAAUCAAUUGAAAUGGAGCGACUUCCAUGUUGGAGGCCAAGCCACUAGGUGUAACAGAGCAAAAGACAACCUUCCAUGCGAGCACACCCGCUCGUAUGGAUGGUCGUAUGAGGCACCAGUAGCUCCACAACAUCUAUACAAGACACUUUCAUGAAGGGGGAACACACAGUGGAGAAGCCUAGUUGCCGCCACUACGACCAGAACAGAGAGAGAACAAGUCCGAAGAACCACCGAAGAUCUUCUUAGUUUUGGUCCUUUCAUCACCAUCAUCAUUUCAUCCUUCAUUAUUGCAAGAGGAAUUCCAAUUUGUAAGAACAAGUUGUAAACUCUAUUCACAAUCAUCUCGAGAUCAAGACUAUCUGGAUCAUUCAUUUCAUUGUGGAUCUUCCGGGUGUUAUUGAUAUGAUUUCCGUUGGUUUAUCCCCUGAGAUGAUUGGUUAUUUUCUUAUGAUGCGUGAGUAGUUCCCCUCGGCGUGGGAGAUGUAGGUGAGUGGUAAGAUUCAUUUGUGCCUAGUCUAUAUGUCGCCAUUUGUGUUUGUAGUCUUAUGUUCUAUCUAGUAAGUUGUUAUACUAUGGUGAACUCUAUACGUGUUGUCCAAUUUAAGGGCCCAUGCAACAUGAUCUCAAGACCUACACAGGUAACACAUAUUGUUUAGGAAAUCUACGACACGUCUAGUCUUAUGAUCUUUCUUCCUUUUUCUUUAUGUUUCUUUCUCUAUUUCUGUUGUUGUUCUUUUCAUACACAUGUGUAAUUUUCUUUGGUACACAAUAUACAUUUUUUAUCUUCAUACACAACGUAAUGUUUUUUUUAUACACAUCAAACAUUUUUUUCAGAUAGUAUUUUCUUUUUGAUACAUGUUUUUGAACACUUCUUUGAAUACGUAGUCAUCAUUAUUUCAAAUACGCAAGCCUAAAUUGUUGGUAUACACCUUUAACAUUUUUUAAAUAUAUUAUCAAGAUUUCUUGAAAUAUACCUUUUGUUGCCGAUUUGUUUUUUCACACACAUUAUACAUUUUUUGUACACAUAUAAAAUAAAUUGAUAUACAUUUUAACAUUAUUCAAUACAUGAUUACCAGCUUUUCUCAAACAAAUAUUUUGAAUCACAUUUUACAUUUUUCUUAUACAUAAUCAUCAAUUUUUAUAUACACGUGUAACAUUUUUCUAAUGCAUGAUUAACAUUUUUUAAAAUAUUUAUUUUUGAUGUCUACUUGUUUCCACACACCUUGUACACUUUUGAUACAUUAAAAAUAUCUUUUUAUAUACGCGUUGACAUUUUUCCGUUACAUGAUUACUUUCAAACAUAUAUAUUGAUGUCAACUUUUCUCAUGCACAUUCUGCACUUUUUAUGCAUUAGAAGCAUUUUUUAUACAUGGUUAACAUUUCUAAAUGCAUGAUUAACAUUAAUUUUUUAUAUAUAUGUAAAUAUAAAUAAAAGUAAAAAUGAAAACAGAACACAAAAACCAAAAACGGAAAAAAAAUGAGAGCUUAAUGCCCCCCGCGCUUGGCUGGACCAUUCGCAAAGGCUGUAUCUUGUUUAUCGCGGGUGUUUCUUCUGUCUCGCCUGACACAUUUUCACACCUGCUACAGAACUAGACCGUCCCGUUUUUCGCCUCUUUUUUUCGUUCCUUGUUUCCCAUCGAGAUGAUCACUCGUGGUGGUUUCUUCCAGGGUUUUUCCCUUUUCGUUUCCUUUUUCUUGGUUUUCUCUAUUUAUUGAACGCUUUUCUUAAAUCCUAUGUUUUUUUCCACCAGUUUUCUUUACUUUUCACAGAUUUCACUGCCUUUUCUUGUAUUUCUUUGUUUCUUUCUUAGUUUUGAUGGGUUUUUGCUUUUCUUUCAUUUCUGGUUUUCUAUCUUCGUUUUUAUUUUGUUUCUUUCUUGGUUUUCAUCAUUAUUGUAUCUUUUUCUUUGUUUCUACCUCGGUCUAUGAAUAUAUGGUCAACAUUUUUCUAUACAAAUUUUAAAUAGAAAAUUAAUAUUUUCUCAAUACAAGUUCAACCAUUUAUAGAAUACAUGGUCAAUAUUUUUAUACACAUUUUUAACAUUUUAAAAUGCUUAAUUAAAAAGAGUUAAUACAAGAUUAAUAUUUUUUAAUGCAUAGUCAACAUUUUUUCUAUAAGCAUUUUUUUCAAAUGCAUGAUGAACAUUUUUGCAAAUGAAAGAUCAACUAUUUUUUAAAACAUGGUCAAAAAAAUUCCUAUAUACAUUUUACAUUUGUUGCUUGAUUACAAUGUUUCAAAUUCAAGUUUAACAUUUUUUAAUUCAAUAUACAGCAUUAACGUUUUUUAUUACAUGGUCAACAUUUUUUAUACUCAUUUAACAUUUUUUAAAUGUUUGCUUAACAUUUUCCAAAUACAUGGUUAACAUUUUUUCUAUAAACGUUAAACCUUUUUCAAACGCUUGAUUAAGAAAAUCCAUAUACUUACUCAACAUUUUUCAAAGGCUUGAUAAACAUUUUUUAAUUAUACAAUCAAAUUUUUACACACACAUUCUAAAAUUUGUGUAUACAUGGGAAACAUUUUUGCUUUAUACAAAUUUAACAUUUUUCAAAUGCUACGUUAAUAUAUUUUCAAAUAUUUGUAUGGAAAGUGUUGUUUGUAAUAUAUUUGUUUAGUAUAGUUGGAAGUAUAAACGAAAAAAAGAAAGCAAAAAACAUGAAAUUAUGCCAGGCCUAGCGAGCUAAAGCGCGCCUUAAUUGAAUGGGAUGCUCCUGUUAUUAGUAGGCCUUGAGAAGAGCUAAUUAUGCCAGAUAGCCUGGCCCGCGAGCUGAAUGGCCCGAACAAACUCGGCGUCGUGGAGGCAGCCCCCGCCACCGGAUCGGCCGGCCGACGUGGCGCCGUCCUCCGCCGCGCACGCCGUCAACGGAGGAACGCGCUACUGCAACUACUACAUUUCAACUCCAGAGACCCUUUCGUCUACAGCUAGCCAGCCAAGCUUCCCUCCCCUGUUUCGCCAUCUCUUCUCACCAGCACCACCGCGCGCGCGUCUGCUUCCCAUCGCAUGCCACCCCCUGCUCUCUGCGCCACCUCCGCCGCCCGACUGCGCCUGCUCCUGCCGUCCGCCCCGUCUGCGCUCUUCCUCCGCGCAGCCGCUGCUUCUGCCGCCCUCGCGCCGGCGAAGCAGAGGUUAUUGUUCUCGACGACGGCGACGACAGCAGGCAUGGCGGCGGCCGCGGGAGCGAAGGCGUCGACGCAGCCGGCGGCGGCGGGCGGGGGCGUGUCGGAGCGCAUCAUGCCGCAUCUCCUCAACAUGUAACUACUUCUACCACUCAAAUCAACCUCUGCUCUGCUUUACUGCUCUGCUUGUCCAGGCAUCCCAUUCCCAGCUUAACUUUGUUCAGACGCUUCGAUGUCACCGCUGUUUGCAGCGCAAACGCAAAAAGUUCAGCUUGUACUGCCAAAUUGCUAAUUUCUAAUUGUUCAGUUAAUUGAGCAAGCAAUUUUCUCUUUGAGUAAUAUAUUUACAAUUUUCCGAAAAAAAAGGUCGAGCAAGCAAUUGAGCAUGCACGAUCAAAUAAUUGCUAAUUGCUGCUCUUAUCUCUCCAAUGAUCUUGGCAGUAUAUAGUAUAUACCUACAUAAUUGUCCAGCUCAGAUUAUUUUUCAAUCAUUCUGUAGUUACGUAGUAUUUUCCAAUAGUUGUUCAUCGCCUCGCUCAUGGCAAAUCACCGCAGAUACGGAUCAUGCGCCACGGCGCGGGACUUCGAGAUGUACGCGCCCAAUGCCACAUUCGAGGACCCGCUCAUGCGCGCCCACGGGUAUGCAAUUAAGUUCGGUGUUGCCUAAUUUUCUUCUUCAGAUGAUCCAUGCCCCUUCUUUAAUCGAAUUCCGUUCGAUCUGAUCGCAGCGUCAAGCAGAUCAAAUCAGCCUUCUACACCAUGCCUAAGGUAUAUAUGCACCUUCACAUGCUUUAUUUAUUCAUGGAUAUUUAUUAUUUCUUUUUGAUAUACAUUCAAUGUUAUUGCACAAACUAAUCCAAAGGCUCGUGCUUGAUCAGGUAUUCGGUGAGUCCAAGAUCGCAGAGUACACGAUAAAGGAAAACACGACCGGACCGGGGAAAUCCCAGGUAAUUAAAAGCUCAUCUUCUGCAUUGGAGCGUCACCACACAUACACUCUGUAUGGUAACAAUGUACAUAUUUUAUAAACAAGAUCGGAAUAUCAAUGCAAUGGGUGAUGCAUGAAUGCAGAUACUGAUCGACAACAAGCAGCACUACAAGGUCUUUGGCAAGGAUGUCGACCUAGAGUCCCUCAUCACACUCGACGUCGAGGAUGGCAAGGUCGUCAGGCACCAGGACUGGUAAGCUAGAACAAUAUUUAUCUUAUCUGUCACCAAACAUAAUCACCGAGACGCUACCAUCUACUAGCUAGUUAGUGUGUUAAUUGUUAGAAUGUAUAUGCAGGUGGGACAAGAAGCCUCUCAAGAACAGGGAGACGGUGAGCUUCCCGCUGUUGGGACGGCUGGCGCAGACGAGCCGUCGGGGAGCCAUGCUGCUCACCCAUGUUCUCAUGGGCUUCGGCAAGGACCCCACCCCGUGAUUUAGUCGCUAUGAUUUGGUUUCAUUAACUCCGAAUACUCCUAUCUAGGUGGUUGGAGGUUUUGGGAUCCAUUUCCAUAGACAAAAAACCAAAAGUAAAAAUAGAUAUAUUGUGUACUCCAAAAUUACAGUAAUGCCAUUUAUUAUUAUGUAAUAAUGUUAUGUCAAUUACUAACGCCCAUUACCUCUAACUAGUAAGCUUGCACGUGCAACGCACGUCUUGCUCCUUUCAAAGAUUCAUUUUGAAUCGCACCUGCGCAAGUAAACCACAACAAGCAUGAAUUCAAAGAUCUAAGUGAAGACACUCACCAUGCUUGAAGAUAAACUUAGACACCAUAUUUGGCUCGCUAUCAUUAUGUAAGUUGAGCAACAAUGAGAAGUUUUUCAAAGGAAGAUCAAUGGUGGACAUGCGGUCCGAUACAUAGAACUAUUACAAGGGAAAAAUGUAAAUGAAUAAACAAUUGGUAUAAGGAAUGCGGACACAAAUAAAGAGCAUAUAAUGGUGAAGAAAAUUAAACAUAAUGUAUUGGACAACAAUGCCCAACCAUGUUAUGAAUUUUGUAGAGUAUCUUCCAAAAAAAUGCGAGGAAGAGUAACUUCAAAUUCGAUUGUGAGAUAUCCUCUAUUCCAAGUUGAUAAUGUGUAAAAUACAUUGGGAAGGGAAUAUAGAAGCGAAGCAAUAAAAUUUGCUAUUGCUCUACUCCAACAAAUUUACUUGUACAACAUUGUUAAAAUGUCUUCACCAAGAUUAUAUUCUCUGCACCCCUUCAUCCACAUUCGUUACUGAAAAGGCAUUUAGGUUGCUCAUUCGUCAACACACAACAUGGGAGAUCGAUAAUACUUUCACAGUAAACACAUUUCAUAAGCAUGUCUCAUGUUGCAAUAUAUUUGUAUUACUUAUUGUCAGUGUAAGAAAAUAGCAACAAAAAAUAGCCAAGAUUACGCUCAUAUAUGAAAUGGUACAUUGCUUUGCAAAUUAGUUUUACUAGCUAACAAUCUGAAACUAUGGAUACUAAUUGAAAUAAGACGUGUCUUGUACAAGCAAUCCAAGUACCUGGCUGUGUGCAUCAUAUGAUGCAGAGGCCGGGGUUGUCCCUCACUCUGUGCGUUCGGUUUAUUCGGUUUACAUGGUUGCUUUAUACUUUUUUUCGGUUUGUACGAUAUUAAUACUUCGGUAAAUACGGUAUGAAAUUAAAAUACGGUUUGGUUCCGGUAUAUACCAAAUUAUAUCGGUAUGGUUUCGGUAUAUACCAUAAUAACCAAAGUUGACGCGAAUUUGAAAAUGACGUAAUAACAAUUUACAAAUUUAUGACUCAAAACACAUACUAUUUUACACAAAUAGUAUAUAACUAUAUAUACAAGUAUAUAUGCAUGAAUGGAUUUAUCCCUUGAUAGUUAUGGACGUUCUUAGCAUCUUUCAAAGAUAAAAAUGACUAUGUUACAAGAAAAUGUAUGUGCUUGGCAGUGAAUUUGACUCAUGUAGAAGAAAAAUGAUAACUUGUAUGGUUGUUCGCCUCAAGAAAUAUAAAUUAUUUUUUACUUCGGUUUAUUUGGUUAACCAUUCGGUUUUUUGGUAUAUACCAUAAAACCAAAGUUCAAAACGGUAUGAAAAGUUCAUACCAUAUCAAAACCAUAAAGCAUAAAAACCGUAAAAUUGGUUCGGUUCGGUUUAUUUUCGGUAUGGUUUUUCGGUUCGGUUUCAAAAUGCACAGAGUGAGUUGUCCCCUUAAAAAAUAAUCCAAGUACCUAUUCAGACAUUUUGACUUUAACCAGCAAAAGGGUACCUAAUCCCUGAAAAAUAAGUGAAAUGUUUUGUCAGCGUAUUCAAAUCACAUACAAUGAGUGCAUCUGAUUAAAUAAGCCAACCGUUUCCAUCGAAAAAGAUUUGAAUUCUCCUUAUUGUUGUAUAAAAAAUGCAUGGGUACAUAUCAUCAAGGUGUAAGCAUGCAAGGAAAGAUCUUGCCAGCUCAAACAUGGGUGAAAGCAAUAACUCAAGAUAUCAAAGGGUUGUGCUCAAUAUCCAGGUAUUAGAGAAUUAAUGUAAGACCUGCUCUACAAAAGACGUCAUUGGUGGCAGUGGCGGAGCUUCAUGGGGGCCAACCUGGGCUAUGGCCCCCCCAGCUCACAAGAAACCAUGCAUAUAUUUCUUUGUAUUAGGCCUAUUUUCCACCACAAAUAAGCUAAAAAUAGUUAUGUUUGCCCCCCCUUCAGCCCAUGCCCCCCAUGAUUUUGGUUCAAGCUCCGCCACUGGUUGGUGGUGAAACGCUGAUAGUAAGUACAAAACAAUAUUCCUGUAGUCAAUUCUUUCAUAGUAAAUGUUGGCUGAAUUAUAGUUGUCAACACUCAUGCAUCACAGUCACAACGCCAAGAGUAACCUAUAAGAUAGCAGGAAUAUCACUAAUUUUUAACAUCUGAAGCACAAAUGCGUACAAGGGAAAUAAUCUAAAUCUUUACACUAAAGUGGCAAUAAUAUCGGAAGCUUUUGAUUUUCAGUAGAACUGGUAGCCAUCACACAUUGGAAUAUUCUUACAAAAGCGCACAUAGAUGAAGUAAUCCAGAGAUAACAAUUGGCCAACAUGUAGAAUAAGAUACAUCAGAAAACUGAAGUGAGAAAGAGAGGUGACAUUCAGAUUCCUUGCCUCACCGUGCCAUUGUAAGCAUGCACAACCACCAUGUUGUGGAGCAAAUUCUGAUAAGGAUGAUGGGUGGUGCGAAAUAAGAACAAAAAGAGAAAACCAGUAUUCUCUCAUAUUGAACAAAAAUCAAAACUCGCAUAUUGAUGCAUCAUGAACCUGAGCGUUUGAAUCUCUUGUUGUGCUGUAAUGACAAAUAGGAUAAUAGUGCCUAUGAGGCUAGGAUUUCAUACACCUCUUACCAAAAAAUUGUAGAUUUUCUUUUGUUGGUAAUGACAACUCCGAACUUGCAGAGGCUAGAAUAUAAGGAAUCACUCAAACCAGAGAGGAGGCAGGGCCGUCCGGCGCGGUGGGGGUGAGGUCCGGAGGGUGAGGCGCGGGGAGAUGAGGUGUUGUGUGCGAAUGGCGAGGUAGCGACGAAUUAGGGCCGAAACAUGCGGCGCGUCGAGUGAAGCAGUGGGCAACGACACGUGGGCACUAGUAGAAAAUGGAGCUUUAAUACCGGUUCAUAAGGGCCUUUAAUACCGGUUCUGCAACCGGCACUAAAGAGUGGAGACUAAAGGCCCCACCCCCCUUUAGUACCGGUUCGUUACGAACCGCCACUAAAGGCCCACCACGUGGCGUGAGCUCGCGCCGUGGUAUGGGGGACCUUUAAUACCGGUUGGUGUUACCAACCGGUACUAAAGGUUUUUUUUUGAAAAUUUUGAAAAAAAAUUGAUUUUUUUUCGAUUUUCAAUUUUCUGAAUUAUUUGAUGAUUUAGUCUCUAAUCAUCCCUCUUAACUACUCAGGUGUGGAUCACUCAUUCCAAAUCGUCUAACUUCCCGACCGGUCACCCAUCCUCUCACUCCCCCAGCCUGAGCACGCUUAACUUUGGAGUUCUAUUCCCCCUAUUUUCCAAGUCUGCACUUGUUGUUUUCCUGACAAAUGUAAGCUGUAAAUCCUAUUAACCCUCAGCAGUUUAGCUUGAGCAUUAGGUCACACAUUUCACCGUUUGAGUUUGAAACUAUUAUUCUAAAAAACAGUAAUUAUUUAGUAACACUAAUAUUUCUUAAAUAAGUUUGACCAUAGUUUGACCAUAUUUGACCAAAAUUCAAAAAAUUGAAAUAAUUAUUUAGUAACACUAAUAUUCUUGAAUAAGUAUGUAGUAACAUUAAUACUUCUUGAAUAAGUAGUUUGACCAGAUUUAACCAAAAUUAAAAAAACUGAAAUUUGAGCAUAUCUUUUUCUCCUUUUGGAAUUUGAGGAUUCUAAACAAUUGCAAACAUGCCAUAGGCUGUCAAAAUCGGAUGCGGAUUUUCGUGCUGAAUUUUUUGAUAUAUUAUACGUUUUUUCCGACAUCGUAUGCAAAAGUUAUAGCUGUUUUACAUUUUCCCUACACUUUUUGCAAAACAUGUCCAAAUUUAAGUUUUUUAAUUUUCCUAACUAGUAGAUGUAGUAAUAUAACUACAUCACGAAGAAAUUUAAUUUUUUAAUUUUUUUAUCAUUNNNNNNNNNNNNNNNNNNNNNNNNNNNNNNNNNNNNNNNNNNNNNNNNNNNNNNNNNNNNNNNNNNNNNNNNNNNNNNNNNNNNNNNNNNNNNNNNNNNNNNNNNNNNNNNNNNNNNNNNNNNNNNNNNNNNNNNNNNNNNNNNNNNNNNNNNNNNNNNNNNNNNNNNNNNNNNNNNNNNNNNNNNNNNNNNNNNNNNNNNNNNNNNNNNNNNNNNNNNNNNNNNNNNNNNNNNNNNNNNNNNNNNNNNNNNNNNNNNNNNNNNNNNNNNNNNNNNNNNNNNNNNNNNNNNNNNNNNNNNNNNNNNNNNNNNNNNNNNNNNNNNNNNNNNNNNNNNNNNNNNUUGCCCUUUAGUACCGGUUUGUGCCACGAACCGGUACUAUAGAUCAAACCCCUUUAGUACCGGUUCGUGGCACGAACCGGUACUAAAGGUUAGCCCUUUAGUACCGGUUUGUGCCACGAAUCGGUACUAAAGGUGAUCGCGGGGCCCCGGCCUGACGCCAGCCUGCCACCACCCCUUUAGUAUCGGUUGGUGGCACGAACCGAUACUAAAGGUUCAAAAUGAACCGGCAUUAAUGCAUAGCCGUUCGAACCGGCACUAAUGGUAUCGUUAAUACCGGGCCAAAAUUGAACCGGCACUAAUGUGUCUCAUAUUAGGUCAUUUUUCUACUAGUGGGGUGCCCGGAAGAAAGCACAACUCCUCCUCACACGUCGCCGCCGGUGGCUCGCGUCCUGUCGUGGCUGCUACUUCUCGUACAUGAGUUCCGGCUCCGGGCGAGAGCACCUACGUCUUGCCAGCAUACGCGGGUGGCUCUAUCACCCAGCUGUAUGUGAGCUCUUCAUGUGCCUCCCAUGGCGCACGCGCCUCCGCGGGACAGGGACACGUCAGGGCACACACGUUGCCAGCAAGCCAAUCGGUGCGUACUUCUGAUCUCUUCGACACUGACACCACGGCGUGUCUUUUCAUGGGAGUGUUUGCCUCUUGAUCCUUGGGGACAUGCGCCGCCGGUACCGGACAGGGCCGGGCCGCGUGCGUGUUGCCGGGCGAGCGCACCGCCAGCUUGGGCGUGUCCUCUCCUCUGCAUGUCGUGUUGUCCCUCCCUCCUGUGUUGUUUUGGAUUCCUCAACGACGGGCUUCUCACGCGUCCCGGGCUCCCGGCGGAGGCGUCUUGCUUACAUUGGCGGGCGAAUUGCAUGCUCUUGGGGAUUUCUCUUAGAUUGAGAGGUGGGCGCUAAUUAAGGGAGAGAGGUAGUUCAGAUUGCAUGCGUUCCGUGAUUGUAGGAGUUGCUGAUGCGGGAUGUGGGGUGUUUUCAUCAGUGGAGUAUGGUCAGUCAUUGAAAAUUACCAAGUUCACACCAUAGAGCUAUUUGGAGUUGACUGCGUCAUGGGUUGUUGUGGGGCUAAUUGUGGGGUGCACGUAAAAAAAUUCUUGUUUGAUUGUUUCAUAGUAGUGGAGACUAUGGAAACCAAUCGAGUCCACACAUGGCCCGAUGUGUGAGAAAUGAGAAAAUUAGCCUUGUUUGAAUUUUAUCAUGAUGCAUUGAGAAAAAAGGUCAAAAGAAGACGGGGAAAAACAUUGUGUUAGUCUUCUCGUUAUAGCUUACAUCAAUCACGAAGUUGUGUGAAACUCGAACGUUGCAAUUGCGGAUUAUGGGUAACCAAAGACUACAAAUGAUGCAAUGACUCUAGCUUGUAGGCACCACAGAGGAAAGGCGAGGGUGAAGAGGAAGGUCAAGGGAAGCAGAGGAGCAAACAAGCGCGUCAUUGGAGCUCGAAAACCUAGUGCAGCGAGACAACAGUGAAAACCCUAGUGCCACAUCAAACCACAAAACAACCUAGAUAGACAUUAAAUACCCCGACUCGACGGUAACCUUUUUUUUUGUGAAGUGGAAUAUUACAUUCCAUUAUUGAACUUUCGCAGCUAAAUAUUUCAGUACAAAUCUUUGUGCACAGUACACAAGCUGAAAAAUGAUUGGACUGGUCGUAUGACUUGGGGUUCACUAACCAGCCAUGCACCAAAAGCGGCAAAAGCCAUGGGCCAUAAGCAACUUGACAACACAAAAAUCAAGGACAUUAUCUCCUUUGUUUUUUAUAAGUGGGGAGAUAGUCUCCUCGGUGGCGGUAGCUUGAAUUUUUAAAAGGUUUACACGACAUUCUCCACACAAUAGGGUCAAGGUGGUGGGAAUGUCCCCCGCAAAAGAAAGGUGGUGGGAAUGCCCACAAAUAAUCGUAUGUAGUGAACAAAAUUUCACUUGCCACAUCUCUCCAACCAAAUCGACUAGUUCCCCUUAAUUUCCCAAUGAAAGUGUUCUCUCACAGUUUAUUAACUCCCUUCUGGUCACGCCUCCCCGCUGAAGCUCACACUGCCAAUCGCCUUUUCUCCGGUGGAGCUUUGUCCCAAACGAGCCAUUGCCAGUUGAAUACACAUUGUUUUUGUCAAAAAAUGUAUACCUUUCGGGAAAAGAAAAAAUGUAUGCUUUUUUGGGUAAGAAAGCUAGCCCAAUUUUAUGUGUGUUGCACUAUCACUCCCACCCUACUCCGAUAUGGCCCAACGACCCAAUUCUGUAAACACCCCAUCGCCACAGUGCAGACACAAUUUAGUGCCUAGCUCGGUGGAUAGACAUGUAUCGUGCACCCCCGCGUCACAUCCUCUUUUAUCUGGGUCGACCCACUUUAUUCGUUGGUAGAACUGUUUAAGGACACUUCCCUUCCGUUUUGGACAAGGUUCUAUAACCUUCCUAGACCAGGUUUUUUUUACUCUGUGUUUUUUUCAUUGUGACUUUCCUUAUUUUCAUAUGGGAACAAUUUUAAAAUAUAUGAUUAUGAAAUUAGAACUUUUUUAAAUGCGGGUACAAUUUUCAAAUUCAUGAAUAUUUUUUUGCAAUCCAGGAACAUUUUUCAAAUUCACAAACAUUUUAUAAUUUGUAACAUUUAUCGAAAUCUAGGAACAUUUGCAAAUCUGUGAACAUUUUAAAAAAUGGAGUAACAAAUUUAAAAUUUGUGAUUUUUUUAAAACCCUUAGAACAUUUUUCAGAUUCAUGGAAAUGCAGGAUCAAUUUUGAAAUUCUUGAAACAUUUGUAAAACCAGAUUUUUUAUCAAAUCCAUGUACAUUUGUGUUAAAACCGGGUAUAUUUUGAAAGUUUAUGAACAAUUUUUCAAAUUUAUAAACACGGAAUUGUUUUUGAGUUUGUGAACAUUUUUUCAAAUUCUUAAAACAGUUUUUUGAAUUCCAAGAAUAUUUUUAAAAUUUGUGGACAGUUUAUUAAUUGGAACAUUUUUCAUAAUCAUGAACAUUUUUUGAAUUGGCAUAUACUUUUUGAGUUGAAGAACAUUGUUUUGAAAUCACUAUCAUUUGAGUUUUUUUUCUGUUAUUUGAGAACAAAUUACAAACAUUUUAUGAAAUUAGAUUUUUUUUAGAAAUUUCAUAUAAUUCGGUGUUCGAUUUUUUGUAAAUCCCAAACAAUUUUUAGGGGUGUUCGAAAACAAAAAGAGAGAAGAAAAACAGAAGAAUGAAAAGAAAAAAGGAGCGCCCGCCCUGCACAUGGGCCGGCACAAAGUGGGCUCGCGCGGGGGGAGUUGCAGACCACUUCGGCGUUUCCUCCGCUGAAUUCGAACCCUAGGCACGGCACGGCCGCGGCGGCCGGCGGCGUAGGCAUCCGGCGUCCUGCCUUCGUUCCUCGCCGGUCUGGCCUCUGCGCUCCGUCUCGGCGGCAGCGCCCAAGGCCGCAGCGGGCGGGCGGUGUCGCCUUCCCCCGUUCUUGGGCGCUCCGUAGGUUCGUUUUGCUCCCUGUCCGCUGAUUCUUACUAUCUGAAAUUCGAGACCUGUUUGCUGUGGAUUCAUCAAGUGUCGAAACACGACUAGCGAGAUUGUUUGAACUACAGUAGCAUAUUUCAUUCGCUAACACAUACUCCCAUAGUUUAGAGAUUUUCAGUUGGAACCUACUAUAGUACUCCCUCCGUUCCAAAUUACUCGUUGCUGAAAUGGAUGUAUCUAGAACUAAAAUACCUCCAUACGUGCGACAAGUAAUUCGGAACGGAGGGAGUAUUUAGUACACGGGUUUACAUUUGUAUACAUGUCGUUCAUGCUUAGAGUGAAUGUUGGAACUAAACACGUAACACGUUGCUCCUGAAUAAUUCGAGUGGAAGUCCACAUCUAGGUUAAGAAAGGAGGGCAUGUUUGUGGGUUAAAUUGACUCUCUGUGCUGUUGGUGCUCAAGUACAGUUGCAUUUGAACGUUUGCCCACGUUGACAGCCUCUCAGUUAUACACCUUAAAUUGUUUGUCCAACCGCUAUUUUGCAGGACAAGUUCUUUUUUCUUCAUAUUUUAACCAUCUAUUCUUCAAAUGAUGGCACAUGGUUUCCAAAGUGAUAAUCAAGUUUUUCACCUCAUCGACACUAUAGUCGAGUUCAGUUCUGUUAAUAUAAACAUACCAGACUUGUUUCCCUAAACUGCCAUCUCUCGGUUGUUGCUUCUUUUUCGUUUGGCAACUUACUUAGUGCACUGCUUAAUUUCUGCAUGUACUGUAUUUUUAGUGAUAUGUGGUAGACUACGCGCUAAUGUUGGCUCCCUGUCUUCUGGAAUUGCUAGGCCAUUCUGAAGAAAUGAGUACGUGUAAAAAGGCCAGGGCGGAAGCUACAUCUGUUGUAAGUUCAGACAGACUGAGCAGUCUGCCUCCAGAGAUAAAGGGCGACAUCCUCUCCCGUUUGAAUGCCGAAGAAGCAGUUAGGACUAGCACCUUAUCAAGUACUUGGAAGGAUGCAUGGACUGAAAUGCCAGUAAUAUCUCUAUCUGAUGGAAAUCUUACAAGAACCAAGUUCGUUACGUUAGUGGAUAUGGUGCUAUUACUCCACAAGGGACCAAUAGAGGAGUUUGAAAUUUCAGGUAGCAAAAAUUACCAUGAUGAGUUCGGUAGGUGGAUGAUCAUGCUGUCAAGGAGAUCACCAAAAUCAGUUACAAUCAAGUUGAACUCAGGGCCAAAGUAUAAGAUUCCCUCCUGCCUCUUUUCUAUCGGUGAUCUGGAGUCUCUGGACCUAAAAAACUGCAUCAUCAGCUUGCCCCGGGCAUUCCAAGGUUUCAAGAGCCUAAGUGACCUCAGCAUGAAAAUCUUCUCCUCCACAGACAAGGAUAUCCAAAAUCUGAUCUCGUUCUGCCCCGUACUGACUUAUUUGAGAUUAAAGUCUUUUGAGGGCAUCAACCGUCUAAACAUUAAGGCUCCUAAACUGGAUUAUCUUAAUGUUCAUGGGGAUUUUAAAGACAUUAAUUUGGAUGCCCCUAAUCUGGAGAUGGCCUCUCUCUUUCUUGAUAACAAAGCAUAUCAAUCUGUUCCAAUUGCGCAUGACAAGGAAUGCUAUGUCAAACAGUUAUUGCGAAGCCUAAGUGACAUAAAAAAUACUUGGAAUUAGUGACACUUUAUUGAAGGUUAGCUAUUAUUAGCUCCAACAUUACUAUGGCCUUCUUCUGCCUUCUGACUAAUCUGUUUUGCCAUUUCCUUUUUCUUUUGUUUUCCUUUCUAUUUGCAGUGUCUAUCAGAGGGGUGCAUAGUUACGAAGGUCCCUGCCGUGUUUACUCGCCUGGAGAAUAUUUACCUUACAAUAUGCUUUUGGGACCAGAGGCAAGUCUUGAUUGCAUGCUCAUUGUUUCAGAAUGCCCCUGACUUGAAGAGUGUUGAGAUGUGGGUACGUAUGUCUCCAGUAAAUCUUCUCCCUCCCUCGAUCAUCUGAUCUAUGUUUGAUGAGUCUACGGCACCUAAUCAGUUGUGAGAAAAAAAAUGCAGAGUUACCCUUCGAGCACAUGGGAUCAGGAUCAGGCGAGCAUUCAAGAGCUUACCCCGCAAAUGCAAAUGGACCAUCUCGUAACGGCCAGUGUGAAAUGGUUCCGGGGUUUGGACUACGAAGUCGAAUUUGUUGCAAAGCUAUUGAGCUGGGCACCUGCUCUAGAAGAACUGAAAAUAGAGUGGGAGGGCGAAACUGACCGCAGCAUGGUUCUUACGAAGCUAUUAGCUCUGCCAAGGGUGUCUCCCAGGGCCAAGAUCAUUGUCACAUGAUAAGUAUGCUCCCUCAUCACCUUGCCGAUCUAAUUUGCUACUGGUAGAAUUAUUCUGGCUUUGUUUUAAGAGUGUACCAGCUAGGACUACCUGGUGGUUAUAUAUGUGUGUGCACUGGCCGCAAAUCAUCAGGUAGAGGUCAUGGUUUUCACUUUCAGUGAGAUUUCACUGAAAUUCACUGAAUUUCAUUAAUUUCAGUAGACACUGAAAUAUUACGUUUCGGUCAAAAUAUUUCAGCAAAUUCAGUAGUACACAGAAAAUCAAAUAUUUUUCAAAAUAUUUUUUGAAAAUUUCAAAUAUUUAAUUAAAUUCAAAUGAAUAUUUCGGCCUUUUGGCUGAAAUGCAAACUGAAAUAACUGAAUUUCACUGAAUUUCAGUGAUUUCAGUUGGUGCUGAAAUUUUGUUGAAACUGAAAUUGAAAACCAUGGUAGAGGUAGUGUGUUUUGUUGAACAUUUGGUGUGAGUACUUAAUGUGCUAUUAGCAAGUGUGUCCAUAUAAAAUGCCGCAAACCACUGCUGUUGUUCCUCAAAUGCGUCAGCUCAGCUCGUCCUGUUUUGUGCUUGUGUUCUGUCUAUGAUACAUUCCUGGUUGUAGCAAACAUAUGUGUCCAUGAGAUGUGAUCACAUCUAGGAAGGCAUCUUCAUGGUUUACCAACAAGAAGUGAAUCAAAGGCAUCAGGUUGUACAUUCUGCAUGUGUCAACAUAUGCAGCACGAAGUAAUGAGAUCGAAGCAGCUCAUGCUUGAAUCAGCCUGCUUUUGGAAAUCGAAGCAUUUAUCAAAUUGGUUUACAUUGGUUUCGGGUUGGUAUGCAAGGGAAAUAUUUCUAUCACUGUCACUUUUAAUACGUUGCUUCAACAUUAUUCACUGUGGUGUUCUCGUAUUGAGGUGAACAGGAACCAGUUUUUACUUCAAAUGAUUUUACAGAAUUCAAAGCUAUUUAUUCAUGUGUUAAUCAAAUCUCGCUUUUGGAAUGAGCUGCAGCCAGUUAUUGUUCUCACAUCGGGCGACUGGACUAAUUGCAUAUGCUUCUAUUUGUAUUUUACAUUUAUAUAUACUGAUGAAUUAGAUGACCUUCUCUAUGGGCCCUAUUGCCUCAGCUAUUUUCUUUUUCUGUAAUUUACACACUAAAUUUUCAUGUGUUAUAAGCGUCUUCAAAAUAUCUUCCCAGAAGGACUGUUCAUAAUAUAAAUUUUAAAUCAACGGACUAGAUUUUCACAGCCCUGUUUGCUUCAACUUCGGGAGGCAGCUAGACUAGAAAAAAGCUGGAGUUGCACCAAACAACUAGGAAAAGCUGAAAGCCCAAAGUCGAUUCGAGCUAUUUUACUGCAGUGGGCUGAAGCACGACCGGUUGGAUGUGCAAAAUCGAUUGAAGAUAUCUUCCCAGAAAAAUAAAAUAAAAUUAGAUAUAUUGUGUACUCCAAAAUUACUAUAAUGCCAUUGACCAUUUUCAUAGACCAAAAAAAAGUAAAAUUAGAUAUAUUGUGUACUCCAAAAAGUAAUGCCAUUGGCCAUUGGCACGGGACUUCGAGAUGUACGCGCCCGAUGGCACAUUUGAGGACCCGCUCAUGCGCGCCCACGGGUAAAUGAUUGAAUUUGUUGUUGCCUCUUCAUGUGACCCAUCAUCCAUGUGCCUUUUUUAAACGAAUUCUGUUCGAUCCGAUCACAACGUGAAGCAGAUCAAAUCAGCCCUCACGAUGCCUAUGGUCCAUAUGCAAAUUCCCACUAGUAGAAAAACCCCUAUUAGUCCCGGUUGGUGAGGGCCUUUUGUCCCGGUUCUUGAACCGGAACUAAAGGGUCGUUACUAAUGCCCUAGACCUUUAGUCCAGGUUCUAACACGAACCGAGACAGAUGGACCUCCACGUGGCCGGUGCGCCGAGCCCAGGCAGAAGGGCCUUUGGUCCCGGUUGGUGGCACCAAUCGGGACCAAAAGGCAUCCACGCGUCAGCAUUUCAGUGGCUGGGUUUUUUAUNNNNNNNNNNNNNNNNNNNNNNNNNNNNNNNNNNNNNNNNNNNNNNNNNNNNNNNNNNNNNNNNNNNNNNNNNNNNNNNNNNNNNNNNNNNNNNNNNNNNNNNNNNNNNNNNNNNNNNNNNNNNNNNNNNNNNNNNNNNNNNNNNNNNNNNNNNNNNNNNNNNNNNNNNNNNNNNNNNNNNNNNNNNNNNNNNNNUUUAGGUGUUUCAUAUAUUGUGUUAGCUAGCUAAUCAAUAGAGAGAAGUGUCCUCUCUUAUGUCCGUGCUUGGUCGACGCUACGUAUUGUACAUAAAGAGGCCCUCGACACGCUAGCUAGUAAGAAAAUGAAGGGAACCAUUAAGUACAGAAGUUUGUCAUGCAUACCGAGAGAAGUGAUGACCGACCUCUCCUUCUCCGAGAGAUUGGUCGAACAACAAGUUUUCGUAUUAUCUAUCCGACGCUACUGGCUACAUACAUAUACAAUAUGUAAGAUCUCUUACAAUCCCCUAGCAUUUGAAAUCAACUUCCACAUGGUAUUCUCCAGCUUUAUUGAUGACGUGGUCAAGAAAGAAUCCCGCCAAUUCCUCUUGAAUUGCUUUCAUGCGAUCUUGUUUUAGAAGUUCAUUCCGCAUCUGCCACGUCUAAUUUGAAGAAGGGGGUUUAUACAUAUAUGAAUGAAACGAGCAUCUACGUUGCAUCUGAUUGCAAGGUUGUCGUCGAGGAUAUCAAUGCAACACCUUCCCGUUUUUAAGGGAAAGCCCUCUCCGUGCAUUCUGUUUAUAUGGUUUGGUUUAUAUGUUUUUUUUAAUUUGUAAGAUAUUGAUACUUCGGUAACUAUGGUAUAAAAGUAAAAUACAGUUCGAUCUUGGUAUACAUCAAAUUAUCGUGAUAUAAUUUCAGUAUAUACCAUAAUAACCGAAGUUGACGUGAAUUUGAAAAUGACACAAUAAUAUUUUACAAAUUUAAGACUCAAAAUACACUUUUUUAUGCAAACAUUAUAUAAGUAAGUAUAUACGCAUGCAUGGAUUCAUGCCUGGAUGGUUUUCAUGCAUGCAAAUGUGCAAUGUAUACUUUCCUUUGUUUAUCGACGUGCUUAGUAUUUUGUAGAGAAAAAUGGAUGUGCUUAGCAGGGAAUCUUGUUCUUGUACAAAAAAAAAAC
rnacentral:lncRNA from 1 species